rnacentral:lncRNA from 1 species
CCAUGACCGGUGCAAGGGACCAAUGGGCUCAGCCCACCAAGCCCAAGCAAGCCUACUUACAUGAUCUUAUACGUUAAUCCAUAUUCCUUUAGAAUCCGAAAUUCAUAAUACUUAAUUACAAUUCCUUUGAAAACAACUCAUAAAACCCAGUCAUGUAUUCAUAAUGGCAUCAUCAACCAUUAUAUACAUACAUAUAAUUUGACAAGUGAAUCUCAGCAUUUCACAACAAAUAGUCAUAUACACGUAAUUAGAACUUGACCGUCAGCGGAGUGACUCUGGAUGGGAGAUAUGACUAUUGAAUGUCAAAGUACUUGCCCAAAAGAUGGGAGUACGCGGACACCUCAAUCUAUGUCUCAACCACCCCUGAAUUUGAAAACAUGAAGUUGAAAACGUGAAUAUAAUCUCAGUGAGUGAACAUAGGAAGGGAACAAGCAAUGUUAAGGAAGGUUUAGAAAUCAUGAUGCACAUCUUUGAAAACAAUGCAACUUAGUUCACAUUCUUAUUAAAAUCCUUCCAUCAAACCUCAAAUGAGUAAAUCACUUGAUAAAAAGGGUCCAUGCUCAACAAAGAAUUUGAAGAGUGAAAACUUUAAUAGCAUUCAUCCAAUUCAAGUCAAGUCAACGACGGGUCGUCGCUGCAGCGGAAAGGCAUUCUCGCUGCAGCGGAAAGGCAUUCUCGCUGCAGCGAGAUUUCGACCAGCAUUAUCCCUUCAAAUCCAAGAGUUUCUCACUGUAGCAAGAAUGAAUUUUGUUGCAACGAGAAACAGAGCACCAUGAGAAAGUUUCCUUUCUUUCAAGAAAAAGCCAUACUGCUAAAAUGACAAAAAAAUCAACAUGAAACGCAUAAUAAUUCCCAAAGUUCAACAUGCAAGAUUCACAUGUGCAACACCAUAUACCAUACUCAUGAACUUUCUAUAACACAAAUAUCUAUAUAUGUAUAUAUAUAUAUAUAUCCAUCACCAUACACACCCUCUCAUCAUCAUCAGCUCAUAUGCACUCCCACUAGCACAUGGCUGGGUCAGCAUUGGCUUAUGCACACUCCUACUCGCACAUAGUCAGGUUAGCAUCGACUUAUGCGUACUCCCCCUCGCACAUAGCCUGGUCAGCAUUGGCUUAUGCACACUUUUACUCGUACAUAGCCGGGUCAAUAUCAUUACACAACAUUAUUCGUAUACACACACACAUAUAUGUAUAUAUAUAUAUAUCAACACAGUAUAGGAGCACAUAAGUCCGUCCUAUUACACAUUUCACAUUUUCACAACAUCAAAAUAUUUUAUCAAAAGCUUGUUCCCAAGGUACACGUUUUUAAAGACAAGUUAAAAUAAAUCAUUCAAUGUUUCAUACCAAUACAAUUAUGUCUCCCAAAAUAAUUUUGAAAUGCAAGUUCACUCACUUGGCAACAAUGAGAUUUUAAGUCGCUAUUUGUUCGGAGGUGUCUCUAACUAUUUUCACUAGUCGGUCGUUCGUUAUUUACUCCAGCAUGCCACCACAAUUCUCUAACUUUAUCUUUGCACUUCCUAGCAAUAAUACGAACUCAAUAUAUUUAAUUGCAUACGUAUACGGGCAUCACUUCAAUUAAUUAAUCCUUACUCAAAUUUAUAUUUUCAUUUUAUCAUGAAACCAUCUUCAAUUAACUCACAUCUUAAUACAUUUUUACCAAAAUUACUUACAUCCAUUGCUUACAAAAUUCCUUAGAUUAUAUCAUCGACAACUUAUUUAUGAUGUCAUGUGCCUACUUCAACCUUUCUAAAUAAUUUUCUCCCAAAUCCAUCUUAUAUUUCCACACAUAAUACACAUAUAUGGCAGCAACAAUUAUUCUCACUUUCACUCGAUUAUUUCCUAAUUUACAUGCAUUGUUAUCUAUCUAACUUUCAAUACCCUGUUUCUUAAUCUUCCAUCCAUAAUAUUCCUUUUUUAUUUCUUUCAAACAACAUGCCAUACAAUCUUAACAAUUUUCAACUAGCUUAUGCAAAUAGAUCCUUUCGACAACCAUAAUUCCAUCACAAUAUUCAACUAACCGUAGGCUUUAAAACAUAGUGUUAAGCUUACCGUUUUCCUUUUCCACUUUGAGUCCUUCAUGUACCCAUGGGUUUAUUGGCUUACAUGUUACCAAUUUUUCUCCAAUCAAGCCAAUCUUUGCUGCCACAAGACAUUUCUCUAAGUCACUAACUCAUUUUCAAAGACUACUCAAGCCAAAAACAAGAAUUCUUACCAUUCCUUGCUUGCAUCACCAAAACCAAGCUUUUUCUUCCUUUCUCUCUUUUCCUUUCUUCUCCUCCUAGGGUUUUGGUGUGCUGGAAAUUGGGGUUGAAGGCUGUAAAUUUAAUGCUCAAGAAGUUUGGAGAAGAAAGGAAAAGAAAACAUGGAAAGGAAAGUGAAGAAAACUUGAUUUCAUGUUGGAUAAAGAGAAAAUGGCAUGGAAGCUUCAAGAAUGGCAUGGAGCAUGGAUGAAGAAGAAGAAAAAUAUGCUGGGGGAAAGGAUAAGGUCGGUCUUGCCAAAAAAAAAAUUAGAGUCAAGGCUUUCUUUGGAAGCUUUGACCAAACUUCUCAUAAAAUUACCAUUUUAUCCUUUUUUUUUGUUUCCUUCCAUUUUAAUUGAGUCCUCCCAACACCCAUUUAACUCCAAUUUCCUUCUAUUACAUUCUCCUGCAUAUGCACAAACAAAGUAUGAGGUUUGUACUCCAACGUGGUAUCCCCAUGAUAUUUAAAAUAUUUAUUUGCCCGUGCUGUCUUUACUUAAUAAAGACAUGCAGCCCCAUUAACGCCAUUUUUCUCCAAAAAUCCUCUCAUUCUUCUUCUCCCCCACUUAGAUUGACCAUAUACUCCUUCUUCAUGGAAAAUUUUGACACUGAAUAAAAUAUUAAUAGUUUAAUAUUAUUUUAUUGAUAAAAUAUUAUUUUAUUCCAAAAAUUUCCUCUUCUCUCCUCUUGUCACCUUUGUACCCAAAAUACCGUAUUAUGCCUCAAUUGACUUCCGAAUCACUUUUUAUCUUGUAAAAUUCUUCUCCGAUAAAAAUAUCAUUAUUUUAUUAUUAUUUCCUCGUGUGCGGAAUAUUUUAUCCCAAACUAUUCCUUUCAUUUUUUAUUAUUUUUAAACAUUAUAAUUAGCCUUAAUUGGCAUCCAAAUAAGCUUUAUUAGUCACCAUAUCAAAGUACGGGGUAUUAUACUAUGUUUGUGAUAAACUUGGUCAUUUAUCUUACAAUUGCUAUAGAAGAAGAAACACACAGAAAAUAAAAAUGAUUUGGGUUCCAAAAGGAUCCUACAUUGCUACUAACCUUCAAGGACCCAUCAAGGUAUGGGUACCUAUUAAGAAAAAUUGAAAAUCUGUUUUGUAAGUUGAGCUGCACUUAAAUGAGACAUGUUCAAGAGCUCAACUCAAGAAAAAAAAGCCCUGGUAUAUGGACAGUGGCUGCUUAAGGCAUAUGACAGGAGAUGGAAUGCUAUUUGCUAAGCUAGACAAGAGGAAGGGAGGUACCAUAUCCUUUGGUGAUGAUUCAAAAGGUAGAAUUCAUGGGAUAGGUACGGUUGGUAAGAACUCCCAAACUCAAAUUAGUCAUGUGUUAUUGGUUAAGGGUUUAAAGCAUAAUUUAUUGAGUAUUAGUCAAUUAUGUGACAAAGGAUUUAAAGUAUGUUUUGAUUCAAAUAAGUGUGAAGUAAUAGACAUAGGUACAAAAAAAGUCUCAUUUAUAGGAAAAAGAUUGAAGAAUAUGUAUGUUGUUUUUCUUGAGGAUCUUGAAAUAAAUAGUAAAAUAUGUCUUAUUGCAAAUGCUAAAAAUGACAGCUGGUUAUGGCAUAGGAGAUUAGGACAUGUAAGCUUGCAUACUAUGUCAAAAUUGAUUAGAAAGAACUUAGUUGUUAGGCUACCAGACAUAAAAUUUGAAAGUGACAGAAUAUGUGAUGCUUGCCAACUAGGAAAACAAGUUAGAACAUCCUUCAAGACUAAGAAGAUUGUGUCCACAUUUAGACCUCUUGAAUUAUGACACAUUGAUCUAUUUGGUCCAAUAAGCACAACUAGUUUAAGAGGAAAAUCUUAUGGCUUUGUAAUAGUUGAUGACUAUUCUAGGUACACUUGGGUUUAUUUUCUUGCUCAUAAGAAUGAUGCUCUAUCAGCAUUUAUAAGUCAUUGUAAGAGAAUAGAGAAUGAAAAAAGACUAGCCAUAGUUAGUAUAAGGAGUGAUCAUGGAAGAGAAUUUGAAAGUGAUGAAUUUGAGAAAUUUUACAAUGAAAAGGGGUUAGAUCACAAUUUCUCUGCACCUAGAACACCCUAGCAAAAUGGAGUUGUAGAGAGGAAAACCCGAACCUUAAAGGAAAUGGCUAGGACUAUGCUAUGUGAGAAUAACCUACCAAAAUAUUUUUAGGCUAAGGUAGUGAACACAACAGCUUAUAUACUUAAUAGAGUCUCAAUAAGAUCCAUGAUAUCUAAGACACCAUAUGAACUUUACAAGGGUAGGAAACCAAAUAUUUCUCACCUUAAGAGUUUUGGUUGUAAAUGUUUUGUAUUAAACAAUGGAAAAUAGCCCUUAGGAAAGUUUGAUGCAAAACGUGAUGAGGCAAUAUUUGUAGGAUAUGCAUUAAACUCCAAGGCUUAUAGAGUUUUCAACAAAAGGACUCUAAAUGUUGAAGAAUCGAUCCAUGUAGUUUUUGAUGAGUCAAAUGCUUUACAAAAGGAAAUUCAUGUUGAUGAUGGUGAUGUAGAAAUCCUAGAAAAACAAAUGAAAGAAAUGAGCUUAGAGAACAAUAAGAAUAAUGAAGAAAGCUCACCUAGAAGAGAAAAUGAAUCUCCACCUCUAGAAAAUUUGCAAAGAACAGUAUAUCAGCAUAGUGAUCUUCCAAGAAGUUGGAGAUUUGUAAGAGACCAUCCACAAGAACAAAUCAUAGGUGACAUUUCUCAAGGUGUCAAAUCUAGAAGAGCAACUAGGGAGACUUGUGAAUUUUCAGCCUUCAUAUCUCAAAUUGAACCUAAAAGUCUUGAAGAAAUUGAAAAAGAGGAAAGUUGGAUAAUGGCCAUGCAAGAGUAACUUGACCAAUUCAAAAGAAAUCAUGUGUGGUCACUAGUACCUAGACCUUUAAAUCACCUUAUUGUUGGCACUAAAUGGGUGUUUAGAAAUAAGGUAGAUGAGCAAGGAAAUGUAGUUAGAAAUAAAGCUAGGUUAGUAGCCCAAGGAUACAACCAAGAGGAAGGAAUAGACUAUGAUGAAACAUUUGCACCGCUUAAUAGAAUUGAAGCCAUAAGGUUGUUGUUAGCUUUUGCAUGCUUCAUGAAUUUCAAAUUGUACCAAAUAGAUGUAAAAAGUGCAUUUUUAAAUGGAUUCAUUCAAGAGGAAGUAUAUGUUGAACAACCACCAGGUUUUGAAGAUUUUGAAAAACCUAAUCAUGUUUUCAAACUUCAUAAAGCCUUGUAUGGAUUGAAACAAGCUCCUAGAGCUUGGUAUGAGAGGCUUUUAAAAUUUCUAGUUGAAAAAGGUUAUGUUAAAGGCAACAUUGAUACUACAUUAUUUAUUAAAAGAUGCAUGAAUGAUUCAAUUGUUGUUCAAAUAUAUGUGGAUAACAUUGUAUUUGGUGCAACUAACGAGGCUUUAUGCAAGAACUUUGCUAAAGAAAUACAGGGUGAAUUUGAGAUGAGCAUGAUGGGAGAGUUGAAGUACUUUCUUGGUGUUCAAAUUAAGCAAAGUGAGGAAGAAAUCUUCAUCAACCAAGAAAGAUACACUCAAGAUAUGCUCAAAAAGUUUGAUAUGCUGAAGCUGAAACCAAUCUCCACACCAAUGAGUCCAUCCACCAAACUUGAUCUGGAUGAAAAAGGAAAGACUGUAGAUCAAAAGCUCUAUAGAGAUAUGAUCGGUUCACUACUCUACUUAACAACAAGUAGACCAGAUACUCAAUUUAGUGUGUGUUUGUGUGCUAGAUUUCAGUCACAACCUAAAGAAUCACACUUAACAACUGUUAAGAGAAUUUUUAGAUACCUCUUACAAACUCAAACUUUAGGAUUAUGGUAUUCUAGAGAAUCAUCUUUUGAUCUUGUAGGCUAUUCGGAUGCAGACUUCGUAGGAAGCAAAAUUGAUAGAAAAAGUACUAGUGGAACAUGCCAAUUUCUAGGAAGUAUGCUAGUAUCUUGGUCAAGUAAGAAACAAUAUGCUAGUAUCUUUGUCAAGUAAGAAACAAAACUCUGUAGCACUUUCAACAACUGAAGUAGAGUAUAUUUCUCUUGGUAGUUGUUGUGCUCAGAUUUUGUGGAUCAAACAACAACUAAAAGAUUUUAGAAUUAAAGUUCAUAAUGUACCAAUCUUCUAUGAUAACACAAGUGCAAUCAAUAUAUCUAAAAAUCCUGUGUAGCAUUCUAGGACUAAGCACAUUGAGAUUAGGCAGAUUAAGAUUAGGCACCAUUUUGUUAGGGACCAUGUAGUGAAAGGUGAUAUUAAAGAUUGAAUUUGUGAAUACUUUACAUCAAAUAGCUGACAUUUUUACCAAACCUCUAAAUGAAGAUAGAUUCUGUGCAAUUAGAAGGAAUUUAGGAAUGAUUAGUCUUCAGGAAUUAUGAGAAAAUCUUCGGCUCAUGCGCAUAAAACAGAAUGCAUUUAGUCGACUAAGGUGAAUCUUAGUCAACUAAGAGUGUUCUGUUAGCCUUAAAUAAUAAGACUCAGUCAAUUAAAUGAAGAAUGAGUAAAAUAAUGUGUUUACCGAGUAAUAAAGCAAAAAGCGAAACCUGACAGAGAAAUAACCAAUUUUAGAGGGAACUUUUCAAAUUUUAAGAAAAACUGACAACUAAUUAAGGGAAGUUAGACGAUUUUCUUUAGAGAAAUUAGACCGCCUUUUACGUAUUUCCUCUGCAUUCUCUCCUCUGAAACCAACCUGAACAAAACCAAAGUCCUAGCCAUUCAAAACCUCAUUUUCCUAGUCAGAAGUCUUUCAAAUCAAAAUCGCAAAAACUUUUUAGAGCAAAGAGAUUAUUGAAAAGAAAAAAGGAAAACGACCACUAGAGGAAGGCACAGAAGCAAAAGUGUAGAAAAAGAAACAAAAAAAUGGGUCUGCUUCAAAGAUUGAGAAAUCUGGAAAACAAAGAGAAAAAAAGCAGAAAUUAAAGAAGAAGAAGAACAAGCAUACUACGCUCAAGAAAGGUACUACCUUUUCUUCCAAAUUCAGAAAUAAAUUGCAUGAAGAAAGGUUUAGGAAAAUAGAGAAUGCUUCAUCACUUGAGGGAAAUACAUUGAUUGGGAAAGUUUUAGUGAAAAUCCAGAAUUUCAGACUAGUUUAUCAGAUUAUUUUGAUGAAUAGAAACUGAAAGAGUAUAGCACAUUUAAGAAUAGAUCCUACAGUGCCAGCUUGGUAAAAAAAUUCUAAGCUAGUAUAACAUUAGAAGAGGAAGAACUAGAUGAUUCUGAUGACUAAUUGACAAUGGACUAAAUGUAGUUUUGAAUGGUAAAGAAUUUGUGGUUACUGCUGAUGAUCUUGAAAAUUUGCUGAAAGUUGAAUAUGAGGAGGGAGAGUUCAAAUUCCUAGAGAAAUACAACCCAUCCUCUUUAUGGGAAAUCAUUACUGGGAGAAAGGAGAAGUACUCAUCAAAGAGCAAUGCUGGUUUGAUAACCAGUCCUCAGAUAAGAAUUCUGCACUACUUUAUUGCUGCAAAUAUCCAUGGCAGAAAUGAGAGUUUAAGCUACAUCGGCCUUCAAGAUCUUUGACUGAUGGAACAUGCUUUUAGUGGGGUUGCUCUGAACUUAGGCAGAUUCAUGAUUGAAAAGAUGAGAGGAGCAUGCAAGCUUGAGAAAAUUAAUCUGCCUUAUGGAAAUGUUAUCACAUCCUUAGUGCAAUAAAAGUGAGUCUGGGCCAAAAGAUAUGAGCUGGACAUGGUAAAGACUAGAGACCAAGCCAUUUACUUUGGUAGUUUGUCCAAAAUGGGGUAUAAACUUGAUGGAGAAAGAUUCAUUAAAACCCCUAAGGCUGGUCUAGGAAAAGAACCCACCCUACCUGCUCAACUAGAGGGAGUACCAUCCUAAUUCUCAAAUGAGAUAAUCUUCAAUCUCCUUAUGAGAAUUGAUGGAAAGCUCACUGAUCAAGCAACCAGAAUUUAGAAAAUUGAAGAAAAGUUAAUUGAGAUGGAAAGGGCAAUGAAAGAAAAAGAAAAAAUGUCAUCAGAACCUACUACUGCAGAGACCUCAGUAACACUAAGUAUAACACUAGCACAAGAAGGUGCUGAGAGUUCAGCUUUAAGUUGAAGGGUCUGCUCCUCAUGGAGCAGGUUAUGGUGUUCAAGCAAAAGGCUCCACUUACAAGACUGCCAGCCCUGUCCUUCAGAGAAAAGACUCUCACCCUAGUGUUGAUCAACCAGCUAAGGCCCCCUCAGUUGAACACCAAAGCAAAGAUAAAUCAGAACAAGGAACAUAAGUACUAGGUUCACAAAAUGAAAAUGUUUUUUCAGAACCUAAAAAAUAGCAGACCUAUCAAGCCUGACUCUACAAUAUGUUUAUUAUGCCAUUCUUACAUAAGAAUGCAUGUUUGCUUACUUGGGUACCUUGAAAAUCGUUAAAGGACGACAAUGUACCAAAUGGUACAAUUAAGUUGAAUUAAGCCUCGAACUAGUCCAAAUAGAAGUUUUAAGAUGAAAUUGAGAAUUUUAAAACCCCAGAAUGACUUAAAAUAGUGAUUCAGAGUUUGAGGACCGAUUUGGAGUCAAAUUAGAAUUUUCAUGACCUAGGGGCAAAAUGGUCAUUUUGCCACCAGAGGUUAAAAUUGGAAUGUUGGAAGAAGUUUUUGAUCAAGAUUGACUAUUUAGAACAUAAUUUGAGUUUGAGAAGUGAAAAAUUUUAAUUUCGGCAUAUUUUUCGAGCAUAGGGGUAAAAUAGUCAUUUUACCACCCAGGGGCAAAAUUGGAAUUUUACACCACCCAACAUUUGUCCAGCACAUGGAUUUUACUCAAUAUUAUCGUGGUUAAUUGAGGACAUUUAAGUGGUGGAGAGAGAUUGCUUAAUGGCUAAGUAUGACACAUGGACCAAUGGAAUGGUGACAUGUGUCAAAUUUUUAUCCAUUUAUUAUUUCCUUAUAAAUUAGCACAAAAUCAGCCAAUUUCUCAUUCAUAUGGCCAGCCAAAGAAGAACAAAGGAAGAAAAGAAAGAACAAGAACCCUAGGGUGAAAAUUCAAGAGAAAAAUUGGUGGAUUUCAAGUAAUCAAGCAAUCAAAGGUAAAAUUUCUUGAUUUUGACCUGUGAUCUACCUUUCCCAUGCAUUAUUUUGCAUUUUCCAUGGUUGAAUCACAAGAUAUCAUGAAGGAUUCAUGGCGGACCGAAUUUAGAGAGAGAAGAUUUGAUGGUUGUUUUGGUUAGAUUUUAAGAUAUUCUAGUGUUUUUAGUUAGUUGGUGAUGUGUAGCAUGAAAAUCAAAUAAGAAAAAUUCAUUUUCUCCCAUAAACCAUCAUUGGCCGAAUUUUCCAUGUAGAGUGUGGAUGAUGAUUUUGAUUUUAUUUCAAGUGAAUUGGUUAGGAAAUGAUGAAUUAUGGUGAGAAAAUCAAGUAGGAAAAAUCAUAAUGUUGAUGCACGCACCAUGGCCUAAUUUUCUAAGAGAAAAUGUGAAGAUGAUUUUGCUAGAUUUUAUGCUAUUUGACUUGUGUUUGAUGAUUUGGAGUAUUGGGAGAAAAAUUAAAUUAUUUGGAGUUAAAUUGGACAUAUUGGCCAAUUAAUCGAGAGAUAGAUCGAAUUAGGCCAAUACUGUUUUAUUUAGGUACACAAUUGAAUUUAUGUAAAGUACCGUGUUUGGACGAUAAUCCGAACAAUUUGCAUCCCAUUUCAUGCAUUAGUAAAGAGCCUGAAAUAGAUUUAUAAUGGUAUGAUACAGUAUAUUGAAUUAUGUGUCGUGUAUUGUGUAUAGGUGGUGAGCCUUCUAGCAAGGGGAAAGACUUUGUGUCAGAGGACUGAGAAUAGGAGUAUUUCAAACUCCUGAUACUGUGAGUAACCUUACUAUCGUCUUAAUUAUCUAGAGUGGUUUUUAUCCGAUUUUGUGAUUUUAUGGAAAAUGAGUUUAAAUGGUAAUUUUUUAGGUUUUAUAAACAAAAUGUGUUUAAAUAAAAUGAUUUUAUAAAUUAUCUUGAAAUUGAAUGAUGGCUUUGCAAAUAGAGUAAUUGGAGACCAUUUGAUGUAUUGUGAAUUUAUGGUUCUAAUUGAUUGGCUUAUGACAAUAUUGUCAUGAAUGGCUUGUGUUGAAAUGUAUAAACUGUUGUUUGCCUUGAUAUGUUGGAUAAUCAUAAAAUUGCCAUGUCAUGCUGUUGAAUUUUUAUUGUAUGGUGGGUUUAGCUUGUUGUAGUGAGCUGGUUCUAUGGACCAGCCUAUUAGAAGGGCACGGAACCUGGUCAUAUUCAUACCUCAGUAUGAGAGGCACGGAUGGAUAACUCCUGAGGUUAACACUUUAGAGUUCACUUCACGCCAAACCAACACGUGAGGGUGAACUCAACCAACGCCAAGGAACGACCAUGUUUUCAAAAUAAAAAUAUGAUUUAUGUGUACCUAACUUUUUAACAGCCUUGGCGGUCUCAGUUAGGAUAACACUCGGCCAAGGCAUCCCUGAUAAUUGAGUAUGAAAAUGAUUUUGGCACGAGCCAAAGUUUUAAGAAAUUGAUAAGCCAUGUUGAUUACUUGAUUUAUAUGAAUUGAUUUUAUUUGGUUGAAAUGAGUUAAAAGGUGAUGAAAUACAGUAUGUUAAACUAUUUUAUCUAUCUCCAUUUACUCAACAUUAGAUAUCUUAUAUGGUAUUUGUUUACUCACUGGGAUUGUAUAAUCUCACCACCCUCUUUUCCACCCAUUUCAGGCUCAAGAUAGUCUAUAGAUAGCUGAUUUCAUCGAGGACCACCAUUGGAUUUGCAUCCUCUAAACUGUAGGUUCACAAUCUUUCUUACUUUUGGUUAAUCGAGGGCCCACUUGUUAUUGUAAAUUAAAUUAAAUACUCUGGCUUACUGUAUUACGAUAUAUAUGAAUUUAUUUUACUUUUACGCUGUAAAAAUUAUUUAUGUAGUGUUAUAAAAAUAUUAUUUUAUGAGAAAAUUGAACAUUUUAUUUAAUAUUUUUAUUUUAUUCUAAUUGUCAUAAUUUUAUUUUAAACGAAUUUUUUAGACAUCCAAAUUUAUUUUUGAUUAUGAAAUAUGUGUUUUGCACUCGUAUACUACAUUAUUAGCUGGUUUCGAAAUUUUCGAAGAAAAAUGAUCAAAAUGCCCCUAUGAGAAAAAAAUUAUUUUUCUAUUGUUUUGAUUUGAAAAUAGUUUAAAAUCUUUUAGAACGUGAUAUUUUGCAAUGGUUACUCAUAGGAGAAAUGAGAAGUUGAUAUUAAAGCCUUGUGGGGUUUCGGUUGACAUUCUAGGUAAUGAGUGUCGAUCGAGACAUUGCGAUGGUUGUCACGGGCUCUAGGGGAGUUUCGGGUGGUGACAAUUAAGUUGGUAUUAGAGCUUUUGUUUUAAAGAGUAGAGCACAGAGUUUUUGGGUUUGAAGUUGUUUUAAAAAUUACAGUGUCAGUGUGGCCCAAGAUAAGUUAAGUUAAGUUAGGUUUGAUAAAAUAGAAUACAUGCAUCUACAUGUAGAAGCCUAACCGCCCUUGUGAUGCAUGAAUGAUUAAGUAAUUACUAUUUGGUUGCGUAUAGGUUUUGAGGUGCGCUGGUGACAUACACACCAUGUCUAGGAGUGACUGUAGUCCCGACGCCUCUCAUAGUAUUAGCGAGGGAUCGUUAGAUUCUACUGCUAGGAGCCGAUGGCAACCCGAACCGUGUAGUCCAGAAAGUGCAGAUAGUAAUAAUAUUAAUGUAAGCAUGAGAGAUUCCCUUUUUAGAGAAUCUAAGAAAUAUGCUAAAGAAAGGGGGAAAUUAAGGAUAGCUGAAAGAGGUAUUCGUCUUAGGAAGGGGGUGUCAGUUGUUCGACACUAUCCUCCAUGCUGUGGAAUGAAUGUAAAGGAACAACAAGAAAAGAAUAAGGAGAAAGUAACUGUUGCAAAUUAUCACCUUAGGAAGGUGAACGUUGUACGACAUUUUCCUCUCGGUUGUGGAAGAAAUACUGCACCUGUGAGUUAUGAGGAAUGUACGAGAAUACAACAAGCUUGGAUUGAGGAACAAAGGAGAAAAUCUUAGGAGGAGGAGAACCCGGAAGAGGAUCUUAAGAAGGAUUUGGAGUAGAAUCUUCUGAUAAGAUUAUAUUAAGAUGAUCAUCCCAAUGACAUGUAAUAUUUUCUUAGGAUUUUGUACUACUUUAACUUUAGGUAGAUGUAGUGUAAAGGAGAUAAUAGUUAUCUGUACAAAGAAGUUAAUAGUUUGGCUUUUAAAGUGUAUGACUAGAAUGGAUUAUUAAAAAAAUAGCUGGUUAAAUGACUAGAUGUAUAUGGCAAUCUUUUAGUAUGAUAGGGAUAAACUGGUAAUAUAGUUAUUGAGAAAGGUUAUAGGAGGAAGCAAUAAGGCUAUAAAUGACAUUCGAAAUGGAUAAUGUGAUUAAGUUGAUGAUUGUAAUUUAAGCAUGAAGGGGAUUACGUAGUGAUGCCAUGACACUAUGAGAUAAUAAUUGGGCAUAAAUAUAGCCCAAUAAAGUUAAAUUAUGGAAUAUGGGGAAUAUGAAAUUUUGAUUUAGUGAGGAUUGCGAGAAUAAAGUGAGGAGGAAGCUGAAUUUUUUUCGUAGUUAAUUAUUUCGAAAGUUAAUAAAAUUAUUGGAGUACAAGACAAGGAAGUUAAUUAGAUAGGGAUGACAAUAAAUUUAAGGAAACCUAUAGACAGUAAGCAACUUAUGUGUGAGGUGGUAUAUGUGUUAUGAAUUUAUUGUACCGUACGAAAAUGAUGUUUUGAGGUGGGAUUUUAUGAAGGAUGAUAAAAGUCCAAAGAUGACAUGAGUUGAAAGUAUAAACUUGGCUUAGUGCGUAUGACAAGCAAAGAGAAGGCACCUAUACUUAUGGAACUCAUGAUAUAUGCCUAGAAGGGAAACCUAAUGGUUGGGGAUGAUUGAUGUAGUGACUUUGAAUGCAGACAAAUAGCUUUGAUGAGGAAAUUUCUAGUAGUUGCAACGCCACAGUACUGACUAACAAACACUGUUGCGUUAAGAACCUUUAAUGGCUAAAAAGUACGAGUAAAAUGUGAGCGGCAUAAAGAUUGGACUCACGAGUUGGAAAAGGGUUAUUGGUUUUGAUGUCAAGUUUCGCUAUUGGGAGUCUUAAGUGCAUUGGGGGAGUGCUAAAAUGAAUAAUGUGUUUACUAAAGUCAAAUCUUAAGAAAUAAAGUAAACCUUGUAAAAGGUUAAAGAUGAAGUGAGGGAAAGGUUAGAUGAAUGUAUAAGAUGUUGAUAAGAAAUGUCAAUACCAAGUGAUGAAAGUGUGAAUAAAGAUUUCAAUAAAGAUAUAGCAAAUAAGUUUGUAUAGAAUAUUGUUACGAGAAUUUACAAAUCUUGUCUUGAUUGUGUUGAAAGGAAAGGAUUAGUGAUAACACAAGUAAACUACGUGGUAUGCUAGAAACCCUUGGAGAUAAAUUGAAGCAUGAGUAGUUGGGCAUGCCUUUAUGGAAAUGAUAUGCUCGGAGUAUGAAAGAACAAAUAAGUAAUUAAGUGUUUCAAGAAUGUUUAAACGCCUUUGAGAAAGAAUUAUAAAUUAUACGAGAUGAGUGAAAGAUGUGUGAUUUUAAAACUUGCUAAGGAGCCAAACGGCUAAGUCAUGAGUUAAGUGAUCACUUGCUGUGAGACAUAAGUUUAAGAUAGAUAUCCCCAAGGAAAUACUCAAAAGGGUCUUCCAACAGUUAGAAACAAGUUCUUUGGAAGUUUUGGAAGAGAUUUGAGUCAUAUAGAGCUGAAAAACCAGAAAAUCUCCUCUACAGUUUUCUGCAUUUAAACACCAAUCUUUUGUAUUUGUAUUCUGCACUCAACCUUGUACCAUUUAGAUCAACCUGUGAUCAUAGGUACUUUCUUUUACUUCUCUUCUUGUAUUCUUAGAGUGAGGGAGUCACUUUAAGUGGUUGUUUCAAGCUAGGUUUGCUUGAAUGUGUUAAGGUUCUAACUUAGUCUCGAAAAAGUUAGUUGUUAGGUUUUGGUUGAUCCCAUGAAAAACCAUUGUUGUAGGUUGUGGUUGAGCCUUUGAAAAACCACUUUGGGUUUUGGUUGAGCCUCUAAAAAACUAUUGUGAAAGGUUAUGGUUGAGCUUUUGAAAAACCACUUUGGGUUUUGAUUGAUCCCGAUAAAAACUAUUGUGAAAGGUUUUGGCUAAGCCUGGUAAAAGCCAUUGUAUAGCUUGGUGAAAGCUUGUGAAUUUCACCAGUUCUUAGUGGAAUUGUUCGGAAAAGCCUUGGUUUGAUAAUCAAGGUAGUGGAUGUAGGUUUUGGACCGAACCACUCUAAAUUCUACUGUUUUGUUUACUCUGCUUUUGUUUUAUUUUCUUUCUUUCAUUUACCUUGCAUUUGUCUACACUUAGAGACAACCUUUGAAAGAGCUAAAUUGUGCUAUUCACCCCCCCUCUAGAACAUAUUAUUGGGACCAACAUCUUACCUCUAGUUAAACAGGUAAGGAGGAUUCUUUUCCUAGACCACCCUUGGGGGUUUUAUUGUAUCUUUCUUUAUCGAGUUUGUACCCCAUUUUAGGCAAGCUUCCUAGAUAAAUGGCUCGAUCUCUGGUUUUGACCUUGUCUGUGUCAAGCUCGACUUUAUAAAAUACUUACCAUGUCAUUCAUGUGAUUGACAAUAUGCUUGCAUACUUGGAAAGCCCCGAAAAAUCGUCAAAAGACGGUAGUGUACUGAAUGGUACAAUUAAGUGGAAUUAAGCCUCGAAAUAGAACAAAUAGAGAUUUUAAGAUGAAAUUGAGAAUUUUAAAUUCCCAGAAUGAUUUAAUAUGGUGAUUCAGAGUUCGAGAAUCGAUUUGGAGUCAAAAUAAAAUUUUCAUGACCCAAGGGUAAAAGUCAUUUUUCCACCUGAGGUUAAGGUGUGAGUGUUGGAUGAAAUUUUUGACUAAGAUUGAUCAUUUGGAGUAUAAUUUGUGUUUGAGAGGUGAAAAAUUUUAAUCCCGACAUUUUUUCAAGCAUAAGGGCAAAAUAGUCAUUUUACCACCCCAAGGGUAAAAUUGGAAUUUUGCACCACCCAACACUUGUCCAGCACAUGGAUUUUACCCAAUAUUAUCAUGGAUAAUUGAAAGAUUUUAUGUGGUGGAGGAAGAAAGCUUAAUAGUUAAGAAUUUAAAAAUGGAGCAAUGGUAAGGUGACAAGUAUCAAGCUUUUAAUUCUUUAUUAUUUUCCUUAUAAAUUAGCACAAAAUCAGCCCAUUUCUCAUUCAUAUGGCCGGCCAAAGAAGAACAAAGGAAGAAAAGAAAGAACAAGAACCCUAGAGUGAAAAUUCAAGAGAAAAUUAGUGGAUUUCAAGUAAUCAAGCAAUCAAAGGUAAAAUUCCUUGAUUUUGACUUGUGAUCUACCUUUCCCAUGCAUUCUUUUUCAUUUUCCAUGGUUGAGAAUCAAGUUUUCAUGAGGAUACCCUUGCUGGCCGAACAUGGGGGGGAGGAGUUUUGAAGCUUGAUUUGGUUAGAUUUUAAUGUAUUUUAGUGUUUUUAGUUAGUUAGUGAUGUGUAGCAUGAAAAGCCAACAAGAAAAAUUCACUUUCUCCCAUCACCCAUCAUUGGCCGAAUUUUUCAUGUAGAGUGUGGAUGGUGGAUUUGAUUUUAUUUCAAGUGAAUUGGUUAGGAAAUGAUGAAUUAUGGUGAGAAAAUCAAGUAGGAAAAAAAUCAUAGCAUUGAUGCACCCACCAUGUUCGAAAUUCCCAAGAGAAAAUAUGAAGAUGAUUUUGCUAAAAUUUAUGCUAUUUGACUUGUGUUUAAUUGUUUGGAGAAUUAGAAGAAAAAUGAAGUUAAUUGGAGUUAAAUUGGACAUAUUGGCCAAUUAAUCGAGUGAUAAAUCGAAUUAGGCCAAUACCGUUUUAAUUAGGUACACAAUUGAAUUUGUGUAGAACACCGUGUUUAGAUGAUAAUCCGAACAAUUUGCAUUCCAUUUCAUGCAUCCAUAUAGUUUUAUAACAGUUUAGCACCAAUGUGAUAAAUUGCUUGAUUGUGCAUUAUGUUUAGGUGGUGAAUCCUCCGAUAAGGGCAAAGAAAUUGUACCCAAGGAUCGAUAGUCGGAGUACUCUAAAAAUUCGACUUCCGAAAUAGUGAGUAACCUUAUCAUCAUCUUGAUUAUCUUAAGUGAAUUUUUAUUCGAUUUUGUGAAUUUUAUGGAAAAUGAGUUUAAAUGGUAAAUUUUUAGGUUUUGUAAACAAAAUGUGUUUAAAUGAAAUGAUUUUAUAAAUUGUCUUGAAAUUGAAUGAUGGCUUUGAAAAUAGAGUAAUUGGAGACCAAUUGAUGUGUUGUAAAUUUAUGGUUCUAAUUAAUUGGCUUAUGGCAAUUUGGCAUGAGUGGCUGGAUUGGUAAUUGUGCUAAACAUAUAUGAACUGUUGUUUUGCACUCGCAUACUACAUUAUUAGCUGGUUUCAAAUUUUUGGGGGAAGAAUGAUCAAAAUACCCCCGAGAGAUGAAAAUUAUUUUUUUAUUGUUUUGGUUUGGAAAUAGCUUAUAAUCUUUUAAAAUAUGAUGUUAGCAACUGUUGCUCGCAAGGGAGGUGAGAAAACUGAUAUUAAAGCCUUGCGAGGUCUCAGUUGGCAUUUCGAGUAUUGAAUGUCAUCGGGACAUCGCGACGGUUGUCACGGGCUUGAGGAGAGUACUGGGUCGUGACAGUCUGCCUCAUAUAUAGAAUUCCAAAUUCCUUUCUUCUACACUAGAGAGGUGAUGAUAUUUCCAUAAGGCAAGUUGAUCUUCUCCAAUCUGCAUGCACCCCUCAUUCUUUCAAUCAUGAACCUUCCCAGAUUAAGUGUAACACCACUAAAGGCAUGUUCCAUUAGCCAUAAAACUUGGAGGCUAAUGUAGCUUAAGCUUCCACUCCUCCCAUGAAGAUUAGCGGCAACAAAGUAAUGCAGAAUCCUUAUUUGAGGACUUGUGAUAAGCCCUGCAUUGCUCUUGGAGGAAUACUUUUCUUUCUUCCCUGUGAUCACUUCCCACGGGGAUGAGGGGUCAUACUUCUCAAGGUAUUGAAAUUCUCCCUCAUUACACUCUAUCUUAAGAAGUUCCCUUAAGUCUAUAGUAGUGACAGUAAAUUCCUUCCCAUUCAAAAACACAUUCAGACCCUCAUCAGAAUAAUCAUCUAGUUUCUCCAGUUCAUCCUUGUCAACAACAAUACUCGAAUAAAAUUCCUUAGCUAAGCUAGCACUAUAUGAUCGAUUUUUAAAUGUGCUGAACUCUUUCAAUUUUAGUUCUUCAAAAUAAUCUGAUAGACUUGUCAAAAUUUUAGGCAUUUCACUAAAGCUUUCCCAAUCAAUAUAUUUCCACAAGUGAUGGGUGCAUUCUCUAUUUUCCUAAAUCUCUCUUCAUGUGCUUUAUUUAUGAAUUUAGAAGAUGAAGAAGUACCUUUCUUGUGCAAUUUGCCCUUUUCUUCCUUCUUUUCAGAUUUUUGGCUCUUCGAUUUUCCAGAUUCUUUACUUACAGAUCCCGACUCAAUCAUUUUCUUUUUCUUCAGUAUUUCAACUUGCAGAUUUUCUUCCAUCAGCCGUUUGCCUUGCUUCUUUUCCAUAAGUUUUUGAGAUUUUCCUAUCUUCACCAUUUGGUUUGGAUGAUUUUGGAUUCAGAGUUUCGAAUGGUUGAGAGGUGAGGGUUUUAGUUUCAGGCUUCGAUUUUAGCAGAGAGAGAGAGUGUAAAGAAAAUGGGUUGAGAGCAAUUUAAUUCCAAAUGAAAAACUAUCUGACUCCCCCUAUUUAAGCGCAGUUUGUAACUCCCCUUUCAAAAUUCAAAUAUUACCUCCUAAUUUUUUUUUUGUUUGGGUAGUUUUUCUACUCUAUUUUAUUUCCUGGUACGCAAUUUUUUCUUAUUAUUUUAUUCCUUCUGCCUUUAACUUAAUUGAGUCUUAUUAUUUAAUGAAACGGAAUGUUCUUAGUUGACUAAGAUUUUCUGUAGUCGACUAAGUGCCUUCUGUUUUAUGUGAAUGAGUCAAAAAUUUUACCUACAACUCCUGCAUAUUAAUCAUUCCUAAAUUUCUUCUAAUCUCACAAAGUCUAUCUUCAUUUAGAGGUUUGGUAAAGAUGUCAACAAAUUGAUGUAAAGUAUUUACAAACUCAAUUUUAACAUCUCCCUCCACUACAUGGUCUCUAACAAAAUGGUGCCUAAUCUCAAUGUGUUUAGUUCUAGAAUGUUGCACAGGAUUUUUUGAUAUAUUGACUGCACUUAUUAUCACAAUAUAUUGGUAUAUUAUGCACUGUUAUUCCAUAGUCCUUUAAUUAUUAUUUAAUCCACAAAAUUUGUGCAGAGCAGCUGCUUAGAGAAAUAUAUUCUGCUUUAGCUGUGAUAAAGCUACUGAAUUUUGUUUCUUACUUGACCAAGAUAUUAGCAUACUUCCUAGAAAUUGGCAUGUUCCACUAGUGCUUUUUCUAUUGGUUUUGCUUCCUGUAAAGUCUGCAUCCGAAUAGCCUACAAGAUUCAAUAAUGAUUCUCUAGAGUACCAUAUUCCUAAGGUUUGUGUUUCUAAAAGGUAUCUAAAAAUUCUCUUAACAGCAGUUAAGUGUGAUUCUUUAGGCUGUGACUAAAAUCUAGCACACAAACACACACUAAACUGAAUAUCUAGUCUACUUGUUGUUAAGUAAAGUAAUGAUCCAAUCAUAGCUCUAUAGAGCUUUUGAUCAACAUUCCUUCAUUUUUCAUCUAAAUCAAGUCUAGUGGGUGGACUCAUUGGUGUAUAAAUUGAUUUUAGCUUUAGCAUAUCAAACUUUUUGAGCAUGUCUUGAGUGUAUCUUUCUUGGUUGAUGAAGAUUCUUUUAUUACUUUGUUUGAUUUGAAGGACAAGAAAGUACUUUAGCUCACCCAUCAUGCUCAUCUCAAAUUCACCCUGCAUUUCUUUAGCAAAGUUCUUGCAUAAAGCCUCAUUAGUUGCACCAAAUACAAUGUCAUCCACAUAAAUUUGAACAAUAAUUAAAUCCUUUAAGUAUCUUUUAAUAAACAAUGUAGUAUCAAUGCACCCCUAACAUAUCAUUUUUCAACCAGAAAUUUUGAAAGCCUCUCAUACCCAGCUCUAGGAGCUUGUUUCAAUCCACACAACGCUUUAUGAAGUUUGAAAACAUGAUAUGGUUUUUCAAAGUCUUCAAAUCCUGGUGGUUGUUCAACAUACACUUCCUCUUGAAUGAAUCCAUUUAAAAAUGCACUCUUUACAUCCAUUUGGUACAAUUUAAAAUUCAUAAAGCAUGCAAAAGCAAGCAACAACCUUAUGGCUUCAAUCCUAGCAACCGGUGUAAAGGUUUCAUCAUAGUCAAUUCCUUCCUCUUGGUUGUAUCCUUGGGCUACUAACCUAGCUUUAUUUCGAACUACAUUUCCUUGCUUAUCUACCUUAUUUCUAAACACCCAUUUUGUUCUAACAAUAGGGUGGUUUAAAGGCCUAGAGACUAAUGACCAUACAUGGUUUCUUUUAAAUUAAUCAAGUUCCUCUUGCAUGGCCAAUAUCUAACUUUCCUCUUUUUCUGCUUCCUCAGAUGUCUUAGGCUCAAUUUGAGAUAUGAAAGCUAAAAACUCAUAAGUCUCUCUUGUUGCUCUCUUAGUCUUAACUCCUUGUGAAAUGUUACCUAUGCUUUGUUCUUGUGGAUGAUCUUUUGCAUAUCCCCAAAUCCUUGGUAGAUCAUUAUGCUGAAUUUAUGUUCUUUGCAAAUUUUCUAGAGGUGGAGUUUCAUUUUCUCUUCUAGGUGUGUUUUCUUCAUUAUUCUUAUUGUUAUCUAAGCUCAUUUCUUCCAUUUGCUUUUCUAGGAUUUCUACAUCAUCAUCAUCAGUAUGAAUUUCCUUUUGUAAGGCAUUGGACUCAUCAAAAACUACAUGGAUUGAUUCUUCAACAGUUAAAGUUCUUUUGUUGAAAACUCUAAAAGCCUUUGAGUUUAAUGCAUAUCCUAAAAAUAUUACCUCAUCACUCUUUGCAUCAAACUAACCUAAGGAUUGUUUUCCAUUGUUUAACACAAAACAGUUACAACCAAAACUCUUAAGGUGUGAAAUAUUAGGUUUCCUACCUUUGUAAAGUUCAUAUAGAGUCUUUGAUAUCAUGGCUUUAAUUGAGACUCUAUUAAGUAUAUAUGUUGCUGUGUUCACUGCCUCAGCCCAAAAAUAUUUUGGUAGUUUAUUCUCACAUAGCAUAGUUCUAGCCAUUUCUUUUAAGGUUCGAUUUUUCCUCUUUGCAACUCCAUUUUGCUAGGGUGUUCUAGGUGCAGAAAAAUUAUGAUCCAACCCCUUUUCAUUGUAAAAUUUCUCAAAUUCAUCACUUUCAAAUUCUCCUCCAUGAUCACUCUUCAUACUAACUAUGGCUAGUCCUUUUUCAUUCUCAACUUUCCUAUAAUGACUUAUAAAUGCUGGUAGAGCAUCACUCUAAUGAGCAAGAAAAUAAACCCAAGUGUACCUUGAGUAGUCAUCAACUAUUACAAAGCCAUAAGAUUUUCCUCCUAGACUAGUUAUACUUAUUAGAUCAAAUAGAUCAAUGUGCAGCAAUUUAAGAGGUCUAGUUGUUGACACAAUCUUCUUAGUCUUAAAGGAUGUUCUAACUUAUUUUCCUAGUUGGCAAGCAUCACAAAUUUUAUCAUUUUUAAAUUUUAUAUCCGGCAGUCCAACAACUAGAUUUUUCUUGAUUAAUUUUGACAUAAUAUGCAUGCUUCCAUGUCCUAUUUUCCUAUGCCAUAGCCAGCUAUCAUUUUCAGUAUUUCUCCACUAAACACAUUUCACAAUUCAUUUCAAGAUCUUCAAGAAAUGCAACAUACAUAUUUUUUAAUCUUUUUCCUAUAAAUGAGACUUUAUUUGUGCUUAUAUCUAUCACUUCACACUUAUUUGAAUCAAAGCAUACUUUAGAUCCUUUAUCACACAAUUGACUAAUGCUCAAUAAAUUAUGUUUUAAGCCUUUAACCAAUAACACAUGACUGAUUUGAGUUUGAGAGUUCUUACGAACCGUUCCUAUACCAUGGAUUCUACCUUUUGAAUUAUCACCAAAGGAUACGGUUCCUCCAUUUCUUUUUGUCUAGCUUAGCAAAUAGCAUUUUAUCUCUUGUCAUGUGUCUUGAGCAGCCAUUGUGCAUAUACCAAGGCUGCUUCUUCUUGAGUUGAGUUCUUGAACAUGUCUCCUUUAAGUGCUACUCAACCUACAAAAUAGAAUUUCGGUUUUUCUUUAUAAGUACCCAUACUUUGAUGGGUCUUUGAUUGUUAGCAGCAACAUAGGAUCCUUUUGGAACCCAUAUUUUCCUUAUUUUCUGCACAUUUAUGUUUUUAUUAAAAUCAUAAGAUAAAUGGCCAAUUUUAUUGCAAAUAUAACACCUAGAAGAUGCAUUAGCAGAAUUUUUCUUGUAGUAUGCAUUUCUUUUUGACGUUUCAUUUUUCAAACUUAUAAGGGCUUUGUUUUCAUCAAGUGUUUUUUGCAAAGCUUUAAACUUAUUGUCCAGCUUAAAUUUUUAAACUUCAAAAUUUGUUUUUGAGUGUUCUAACUCAACUUGCAGAAAAUUUCUUUGCUCAAAAAUAGAAUUGAACUCUUAUCUUAUCUUUUCUAAAUCAUUUUCAAAGGAUGCAAUCUUUUUCUUUAAAAUCUUGUAUUUUGCAAAGAGUUUUUCAAAUUCAUCAAAAAGGCACUCAUACUCAUCUUGUAAAUCAUCAAUAGAAAUAUCACAGGGGGAUGAGGGUACCUCAGUUUCAUCAUCCUGUGCCAUCAAACACAGAUUUGUUCUUUCUUCACCUUUUUUUUCCUCACUUUCAGAACUUGAUGUGUCACUGUCUGACCAAGCAGCUGCCACCAUUGCCUUCUUUGAUUUCUUGUUUUUCUUUGGAGUCUCAUUUUUUAGCAAUGGGCAUUCGGACUUGAAAUGUCCAACCUUCUUGCGUUCGAAGCAGGUUAGCUCAUCCUUUUUGUUGGAGUCAUCUCUGUUUCUAGUUCUCCAUGAAGAACCUUAAUCUUUUUUAAACCCUCUUCUAGCUAAUCUCUGAUUUUUUUUGCCCAUAAGCUUUCUGAAUUUCCUUGCAACCAGUGCUAACUCUUCAUCAUCAUCACAGGAUAGCUCUUCCAGCUCUUUUUCAUGAAUGAUGGCUUUAAGUGCAAUGCUCUUUUUCUUUUCUUUUGCUUCCCUUCUAUCUUCUUCUUCUUCUUCCUUGAGUUCUAACUCAUGAGUGAGGAGAGAACCACAAAUCUCAUAUAGAGUAAUAACAUUUAGGUCCUUGGCUUCCCGGAUUGCAGUCACUUUAGGCUUCCAAUUUUUUGGUAGGCUUAUAAGAAAUCUUUUAACAAUCUCAUGCUUGGGUAUUGGUUUGCCUAAUUGACUUAAUUUGUUUGUGAAUCUAUCCAACAUGCUGGUGAUAUCUUCACUAGGCUCCAUCUUAAACAUUUCACAAUUAUGGGUCAAGAGGGCUAUCUUGGACUCCUUGACUUGAGAAGUCCCUUCACGGAUAAUUCUAAGUUUAUCCCACACUUGUUUAGCUAUUGUACAGCUUGAUACUUUGUUGAAUUCGGUAGGAGUCAAGGCACAAUGCAAUGUAUUAAUAGCCUUAAAAUUUAUUUGGACUUUCUUAGUUUCAGCCUCGGUCCAUUCAGAUAUUGGCUUAGGCAUCAUCUCAUUAGUUACUACAUUUAAGGUUGAGGGAAUAAAGGGUCUAUCAGUUAUGACGUCCCACAUUUCAUAAUCAAUUGAUCUAAUGUAUAUUGACAUCCUAAUGCUCCAAUAAGGACAGUUAGAGCCAUCAUACAGAGGUGGUAUGUUUAUUGAUUGUCUCUCAGCAACUAUGAAAUUUUGGAGAGCCAUUUAGAUCCUCCUAAAGGGUGUUAGACCUUAAGAACAAGGAACUUGCUUUGAUACAAUUUGUUGGUCCCAAGUAAAUGUGCUAGAGAAGGGGUGAAUACCACAAUUUGGCUCUUUCAAAAAUUGUCUCUAAGUGUAGACAAAUGCAAGACAAAAGAAAGACUGAAAAUUAAACAAAAAAAGAGUAAAUAAGACAGCAGAAUUUAGAGUGGUUCGGUCCAAGACCUACAUCCACUACCUUGAUUAUCCAACCAAGGAUUUUCCAACCAAUCCACUAAGAACCGGUGAAACUAACAAGCUUUCACCAAGCUUUACAAUGGCUUUUACUAGGCUUAGCUAAAACCUUUCACAAUAGUUUUUCCCAGGCUCAGCUAUAACCCAACAUCGAACUUUUCAAGGCUAAGUUAGAACAUUUAUCUAAACAAGAAAUCCUAGCUUGGUUGAACCCCUUAGAGUGACCCUUUCACUCUAAGAACAUAAAGAAAAAUGAAAUAAAAGUGUACCUAUGAUCACAAAGUUGAUCUAAGUGGUACAAGUUGAAGUGCAAAACACAACUACAAAGAUGGGCGUUGAGUGCAGUAAAGUGCAGAGAAAUUUUUUCUAGUUUUUGAACUCUUUUUGCUUGGAAGCCUUUUCUCUUUUAUUUCUAGCCGUUAGAACCCUUUUUUAUACUUUGAGAAACAACUCUGAUGGCAGUUUGAUAGUUUUCUAACCGUUGGAAACAGUUGAAAGUUGAAUCUAGUUGUUAAUCUGUCUUUUAGUGCAGAGUUUUAACUUGCAGGCAGAAUGCUCUUCGUCGACUAAGUCGUCUUUGUCUUCUGUUCCCAGUUUCUGAUAGUUCUAGUAAUGUGCACUUAGUCAACUAACUCAUUCCUUGGUUGACUAAGUUGGUUCUGUUUCUCAAUACUCUUCAGCCCGCCAACUUUUAAUUUAAAUCUUAGCUGACUAACUUUUCAUUAAUCGACUAAGGGGCUUUAAUCAUGUUGAUCAAUUGUGACUUCCUUAUUCCUAUGCUCUUUGAUAUAUGCGCUUAAAUGAUUGAUUACAUAUUUGCAUAUAAUUUUUGUCCUACACACUUAAGUAGAAAUAUUAGACACAAAUGAAUGGGAAUGUUUUAUUAUCAUAAAAAACUAAUGAAGCCAAUAGACAUUAAUAAAUCUCAUAAGUUUUUCUUCAAACUAAUGUAAAUAGCAUUAUUUAAAACCAUUUCUUACAAGUAUAAUAGAAGCCAAAGUUUGCAUAAACAUUUAAGAUGGCAAUGAGAGUUAUAAACAUUUGAAAACAUUGUAAAAACGGAGUGAAAACAUUAUUCUGUAACUGAAGUAUCGAUACAUCCUUGUGAAGUAUUGAUACUUUUUACACAGAAUGCUUUCUGGACUAUAUGUAUUGAUGCAUUUGGAAAAGUAUCACUACUUUCUACACAAAAUACUUCGUGGGACAUUCUAUGUUCUAUGUAUCAAUACUUACUCUUCAAGUAUUAGUACUUCAUUCAUAAAACUUAGUCUACUAUAACAUUUUUUGCAUUUUCUAACUCUAUAAGUCAUCCUAACCAUAGGAACAAUCAUAUAAACUAUGAUUUAAUUGACUAAGCUACACUCCAUCAAGUUCUCAACUAUACCAUGUCAUUUCCUCAUUUAUAACUUGUAUAGAAUCUUCUUACAUUCUAUUUUCUAUAAUCAUUCUAAUAAUCAACUAGAAUUCAACUAUCUGUGAGUGGUAGCCUGCCCUAAGUCAAGGUGGAAAUGGUUUAAUCCCCACUAUUAGAUUCCUUUGGAGUGGUAAUCAGUCCCGACUCCCAAUGACUAGGGUUUAAUCCCCACUAACUUAGAUUACUAAGUGCAUUUAGGAGUGGCAUCUCACGUAGUUUGCCCCAACUCAAGGCAGAUAGUGGUAAAAAUCCCCAUUAUCUUGGAUUACUCCUAAACAUAUAGGAUCUAUCAUAUCCAUAACUUAUAACAUCAUCAUUUCAUAGUCAUACUUCUUUGUGGCUCAUGCGUCAUGCUAAUAAGGUAUGUGGAACUAUAUUAGAUACAAAUCAAAAUUAACGUACAUAUAUUUAUAUACACAUCUCAUAAAUGUUUCAUAGCCUCAAGGGUGGCAAUGUCUACACCCACCUAAACAUGUCAUCUAGCAUACAUGCAUUUCAUAUUCAUCAUAUCAACUUGAACUCAUUUUGAAGGACAAUCAAAUAAAGGGCUUGUCCCCCCUUAUUGAAAGCUAAUACACAGUAGAAUAUUUACAUAUAUAGUAGAUUCAAAAACAUUUUUGAAAUUGUUUGGGUUUAAAACAUUUGAGUAGUCAUUAUAAAGGUAAUCUUUAAUCAUGCAUGAUAAAGACUUCAAUAAAUAAUGUUUUACUUUACAUAUAUAAUAUACUUAAAAAAGGUGGAUCCACAUACCUUUAGAAGACUCGACCUUUACCAAUGAGCAAGACUUUACUUCAGUGAAUUCCUUAGAGUUUUGACAACCCUAAGUGUUCAACAAUCAUUGUAAGCAUUACUUAAACUAGAAUCUUGUGGUAAUCAUCAAUACGAAUUUCGAAACUUGUCAAGUUCAAGCAGUACUAAAUUUCUAGCUUUAAAUAUACUAUUUUUCAUUUAUCUAAUGGUAAAUAUAGUUAAAUCUUUAAGUAUUCCUUACCUUGGUGAGCUACAAAGGAUAGAAGUCUCUAGAAACCUUAGCUUCUUUGAAUAACCACGAAAUCUAUUGGAUUACUUAAAAUCAGUAAUGGAAAUCUAAGUUUUGAAAGAUUAAAAGUCAGAAACUUUAACUUUGAUAGUUAGAAAAACACAAACCAAACUUUAAAUCUUCGAAAAUGAGGUUUUUUAUCGAAAAAAGAGUUUGAAAAUGCUAAAAUUUGAGAGCAAAUGUUGAAAAAGUGGUUGGAGUUUGAAAGAAUGAAAAAAAAACCUAAAAUGGAAUUUUUUAGGUGGAAAAUACAUUUUUACCCUUUUUUAUAUUUUAGAAAUUGACGACAAGUAUCAAUACAUUUGGGAAAAUAUUGAUACUUGAGUUUCUGGGUUUAAUGUAUCAAUACAUGUUCAUUAUGUAUCAAUACUUGUUCAUCUAAAUUCUUUUUGAAAGCUUUUUAGGUAGAAUGUAUCGAUACUUUUGCUCUAGAAUGUAAAUUUUUGCUUUCAAAACACUUCUUUAUGGCCUAUUUACAACUCUUAAGUACUUUUUCUCUUAAAAUUUGAGAUUUAGGCUUAAAACAUGUUUAAAUUUGCUCACCCAAUAAGAUUUACUUAACUAAUCUAGACCCUAGGUUGAGUGGUUUCACAUUCUCUCCCCUUGGAAAAAUUUAUCCUCGAAUUUAAAUAUGUACUAACCUUCACUAAAUAAGCUUGGGAUUUUUGCUCUCAUGUUGUCCUCGACUUCCCAAGUCACUUUUUCACUCAAGUGAUUGCACCAUUGCACCUUGACCAAGGCAAUCUCUUUAAAGUGUACUUUCUUCACAUGUUUAUCCAAUAUUUCAAUUAGUUCUUCCUAGUAGCUCAAAUCAUCUCUCAUUUAUAAAGUCUCAUGCUGGAUCACAAGAGAUAGUUCAGGAUUGUACUUUUGAAGUACUGAAAUGUGCACUAUUGAGUGAAUGCUAGAAAGAUCUAGUAGAAGUGUUAGAUGAUAUGCCAUUGUCCCAACUCUCUUAAGGAUCUCAAAUGGUCGUAUAUACCUUGGGCUCAACUUGCCUUUCUUGCUAAACCUCAUAAUGCCUUUCUUUGACGAAACCCUCAAAAACACAUGAUCACCAACAUUAAGUUCCAAGUCUUUAUGUUUGUGGUUAACAUAUGACUUCUGACGACUUUGUGCUAUCAACAUCUUCUCUCUAAUCAACUGAAUCUUGUUAGUGGUCUCUUGAACCAUCUCUGGUCUAAAAAACUUCCACUUACCAACCUUAAACCAACAAAUGGGCGAUCUGCACUUUUUCCCAUAUAAAGCCUCAUAAGGUGUCAUUUGAAUGCUAGACUAAAAGUUGUUGUAGGAAAACUCUAUCAAAGGUAAGUGUCGAUCCCAAGUGACUCUAAAGUGUACGACACAAGCUCAUAACAUAUCCUCUAAUGUCUAACUAGUCCCCUUGGAUUGCCCAUUCAUUUAUUUAACAGUAUGGUGACAAUGACUCUAUGCAAUCGCACUAUCUCAUCCAUAUAUAAUCCAGCAUACUAUGCCACUCCAUAAGUAGUCCUUACUAGCAAAAAAUGAGUGGACUUAAUCAGUCUAUCAACGAUUACCCAAAUAGAAUCACACACCUUGCUAGUUCGAGGAAGCUCCAUCACAAAAUCCAUAGAAAUAUGCUUUCAUUUCCAUUCGAGAAUGGGUAAAGGCUGUCAUAAUCUAACGUGCCUUUACUAUUCUACCUCAACUUGCUAACACACUAAGUACUUAGCUACCUCAUUUGCUAUGUCGUUUUUAAACUUUCCCACCAAUGUAACUCCCUCAAAUCACGAUACAUCUUAAUGGUCCUUAGGUGAACCACAUAGGCUACCACAUACGUGUGAGACCUCAACCCCUAUAAGCUCAUAACGAGGCAUAGGCGUAAUAACCUGGCUAGGGGUAGUUUCGUCAUUUCCUCUAAAAAGCUCUCAAAAGAAGGUUUUAUGAUAUUUUAAGGUCUAAAUAGGCAUAAGACCGAAUAAAUAAUGUGUAAUGAUGAAAACACGAAGAAAACUAGAAGUUUCAAUAAUUUUUGCCAUAAGGGCAAAAUCAUCAUUUUUCACCUUGAGUCAAAAUUUUUAAGUUUCAUAAACCCGAGCGUGUCUAGACCAUUAUGGACUUGUUUUAGUAUCAAAAGAGUAAAAAGAUUGCACCAAGGAUUGAAGGAGAACAAGUUAAUGUGCUAAGGGCAUUUUUGUAAUUUCAAGUGGAAUGGAUAAGCAUGGGCUAUAAAUAUUUUCUUCCAACAACUUCUUCUUCCAUUUUCCAGCAGCUUCUUCUUCUGCUUCUUCCUUCUUCUCUUUCACGUUACUUCCAACCUCCAUGGAAGCAUGGUAUGAGAACUUCAUAACUUUCUCUCUCUAGCUCUAAAUUUCAUGCUUUUGCCCACUCUUUCAUACGGUAUUUCAUGCUUUUCCACUUGUACACCUUAAAACCAUUAAAAAAAGUCUUUGUUCAGCACUUUCUCUCACUAGUUGAAAGUUUUAGAGAGAGAAAGAGGGAGCUUCCAUAGUAGCUUGACAAUUUUUGGAAAGAAUUUCAAUUAUAAAGCUACUAAGGUGAGUAGUGAACUAUAGUUGAUUUUUAAGUGUUGAGAAUGUCUAGUAAUUAGAAUUGUGAGAGUUUAUUUGUUGGGAUUAUUAGUCAUUUUAGUGUGACUAGAGAAUUGCAAACAAUAGCCAUUUAAUGGUGGUUGGAAACUAGUUAGGAAUGACUAGUAGAACCCAAUUUAGAAAAUAGUUUUGGAGUGAUAUUAAUGUAAAUUGGAUUGGUUGUGAUGUUGUGUGUGUAUAGGUUCCAACAAGGCCUCACAUGUCCAUUUGGAGUAUCAGAUGAGGUUAGAAUCAAGCAAAAGAAAUAACAAGACCGGUGAGUGAACUUGCAUUUCAAAGUAUUUUUGGGAAUGUGAAUGUGUUUGCACAAGACAUUAAAUUAUUUUAUCAAACUUUUCUUAAGAAUGGGUGCCUUGGGAACAAGCCCUUGAUAAAUUAUCUUUGUGUUGUGAUAUGUGACUAUUAUGGAUUCAUAUACUGCUACAUUAUGUUGAUAUAUAUAUAUACAUAUGAAUAUAUUAUUGUGUAAUGAUAUUGACUCGGCUAUGUGCCGAGUAGGGAGUGCACAUAAGUAGAUGAUGACCCGGUUAUGUGCGAGUAGGGAGUGUGCAUAAACCAAUGAUGACCCAGCCAUGUGCGAGUAGGGAGUGCACAUGAGCUGAUGAUGAUGAGAUGGUGUGCAUGAUGAUGAUGGGAUGGUGUGCAUGAUGAUGAUGGGUAUAUAUAUAUAUACAUAUGUAAAUAUGUGUGUUAUAGGAAGUUUAUGAGUAAUGGUAUAUGGUUGUAAUGCCUGUGAAAUUUGGCAUGAUGAAUCUUGAGAAAUUCCCAUUUUCUUGCAAAUUGAUCUUUAUUGCAACACCAAAUGGAUUUUUUGUGCAAAGGAGGCCCCUUUUUCACUUAGGUGCCCUACUUCUCGUUGCAGCGAGAAUUCUUUCUCGCUGCAGUGACAAACAUUUUGUUUUGGCAGCAGAAAACUCACUGCAGCAAAAAUAAAUCUCACUGUAGCGAGAAACUCUCGGGUUUUGAUGUAGUGACUUCACUUUGAUGAAAAUUUUGACCACCUUCCCGUCCUAACUGGGAAAAGUGGUAAACAUAAAAGUUGUAGCCCUGCCUCUUAUCUUUCUAAUGAUCUAAAAUCAGGUCAAUUGGACUUUUUUAAAGGGAGAUAUUUUAGAUAGACUGAAAUAUAUGCAAACUGGUACUAUUUCUCACUGCAGCGAGAAACAUUCUGUCCUACAUGCUACCCUAUUCAGUUUUGACAUACUUUUCACCCAUUUAACUUCAUGGAUUUCAUGGGUUGUUGCAACACUAUGAGGUUGUUAAUCAAAGUUUGAAAUGAGGGGUUUUUAGCAAGAAAUUAAAUCAAUUACAUUGUUUUUGAAACAAGUGCAUCAUGAUUUUCAAAUUCUUCCGAUUGAUAGCUUGUUCCCUUCUUAUGUUCACUGACUGAGUUUUAUACUCACAUUUUUAAACUUCAUGUUUUCAGAUUUGGAGGCAGUUGGGACCUAGAUUGAGUUGUCCAUGUAUACUCGCAUUCUUGGUAGGUACUACAGCAUCUUAGUAGCUGUACCUUCACCCACAGUCACUCCGUUGACGGUCAAGAGUCGUAUGCUUAUGUAUACAUAUAAGUAAUGUAGACCAUUCAGAUUCAUGUUAGAAAAAUCAAAUAUGUAUAUUUGAUGACUGAUGCUACUAUAGGCUGGCAAACGAGUAACAUUAUUUUAACAUAAUACGAAUGUGAAUAUUGGGUUACUAUAGAAUGUUAUUGAAAUAUUUUUGGUUGAGAAUCACAAUAUGGGUUUGAGUAAUGAUGGUUUGGAGUGGUGAUCGGGAUUGUAUAAAUAGGCUUGUUUGGGCUUAGUGGGCUAUGUCCAUUGGGCCCAUGCGCCAGUCAUGGCCCGAAAUUUGGGCUGUGACAAUACGCCUUUUCCAAUAUCUUUCAUUGUAAAUCAUCAAUGUUUGACACAUACAUUUUAGAUCCUUAUCAUAAUAAUCCAUCCAUGCCUUUACUAGAGAUUUGCCCUUUUUACGCUUGAGGAUUUAGAGCUUUAACAAUAAAGCCAUCCUUGCUUUAGGCGUUUUUGAUCUUAUCAAUCAAAAUUAGCCUUACUCUAAAUGGGCUAACAAUGCCUCCAUGUCAUCAAUAUCAAAUCGUACUCCCAUAUUGCCCAAGUUAUGCAUGCCUUGCACUAAGGAUCUUCAAUCAAUUGAUAUAUAGGUCAAACUACACAUAGACUUCUGGCUCAAAGCAUUUGCCAUAACAUUGGCCUUGUUGGGAUAAUACAAAAUAUUGUAGUCAUAAUCCUUAAGCAACUUCAUCCAUCGACGUUGCCUAAGGUAGAGUUCCCUCUGUUGAAAAAUAUACUUGAUGCUAUUGUCGUUUAUAUAGAUCUCACAAGUCUAUCCAUAAAGAUAAUGCCUCCAAAUCCUCAAGGCAAGCACUAUAGCAGCCAUCUCUAAGUCGUGGUUGGGAUAAUGCCUUUUGAGCUACCUAGAUGCGUGCAUUAUCACCUUUCCAUUUUUCACCAACACACAAGCCAGUCCUACUCGUGAUGUGUCGUAAUGAACCACAUAUUAUUUUGUAUCACAUGACAUACUCAACAUUGGAUUUGUGGUAAAACAAGCCUUAAGCUUCUUAAAGCUCUUCUUGCAUGCCUUCUACUAAAUGAACUUUGCAUUCUUUUACAUUAACUUAGUCAUGGGAUCUACAAUCCCAUAGAAAUCCUUAACAAACCUACGAUAAUAGUUGGCCAAUUCUAAGAAACUAUGGAUCCUUGUCAUUGCUGUUAGCCUCGACCACUUUUCCAUUGCCUCAAUCUUCUUUGGAUCUACUUUUACUCCAUCCAUAGACACUAUGUGACCCAAGAAACUUACACUAUCAAGUAAACUCAUACAUAGAGAACUUGUCAUAAAACUUAUGCACCCUCAAAGUGAAGCAUAAUCCUUAAGUGUUGUUCAUGUUUCUCAUGAUUCAUCGAGCAUAUCAGGAUGUCAUUUAUAAACACCACUAUGAACUUGCCCUAAAUACUCUAUUCAUCAUAUCCAUAAAGAUUGUAUGUCACAUCCUAUUUCAAAGACAUGACUGAUGUGAGGACCUACAUAGGUAUAGCCCACUAGGCCCAAGUAAGCCUUAACUAACAAUGCAUGGGCUUGUCAUCCAUCGCAUUCAUCUAUAUUUCCAUUCAUUUACAUCUUCACAUCAUUGCAGAACUUUUCGAUGUAAUGUACGGAAUUACAUUCAUUCAUACAUAGAAUAUACAGGUAAAUCAACAAUUUCACAUCAUUAUGGAACUUCUUAACAAAUGUUUCGCAAUUUCAUUCCAUGUCAAUAUUCACAAGUUUAUCAUUGUGGUUCGGCACACAUCUCGUGCCCAUAUUGCUAUGGUCCUCUCACCAUAGUCUCAACAUUCUCAUAUGCAUUAAUUUUUAGGGCUUAACAUAAUAUUUAAAAUGAAUAACAAACAUAAGUAUAUUUAUUACAUAACCAAGUUUCAUUCAAAUAUCAACGUUCAAAAGACUUGAGUUGACACAUUGCGAAGUGUAGUGACACUAAGGAGCCAGAAGGAAGGUACUACCACACCUGCCAAGUAUGAGAUAAGCUAUUCCUCUAUAAGCCGCCUAGGCAAGAAAAAUAUUGAUAUGUAAAACAAAAAUAGGGGAAAAUAGCGAGUGAGUCACAAAGACUUCGUGAAUGGAUACAGGGAAGGUGACAAACCAAAAGGAAGAGUUUUUGGAAAAAAUUACAGCUUACAAAAAUAAAUAUUCACAAAUAUUCAUAUAAAUUCUUUCAAAAGUCAAUAAUCCCAUUUCAACAUUUUUCCACAAAUGCAUUUGAAGAUCAUGAUGCAUAAAAGAAUUAAUAAGCAUUCGUACCUUUCCUUACAAAACAUUUGCAAAGAGAAAAAUGAGGGAGUUAAACUCAAUGAUACGGAUACUUAUACCAUUGGCAGUGGAAUCAAUCCUUAUACAACCCAUACUUUGGGUAUUCCUCCCAUUUAAAGGCUUAGGAAGCACUAAGCGAGUUUAUCACUCUUUAGCUUUAUAUCAACCAUUUAAUGGAUGAAUAAACAUUUAUGAACUAAACGCAUUAGCAUUAUUAAAUGAACAUUUCCAACAAUUUAAUAUAGACAUGGAUAUCACCAUUUCAACAAUUGGCAUGUUUGCCUCGUCAUCACAACUAUAAAGUGUGUGGUGCGACUCUUCACAUUUGACCUUUAUCACAUGUGGUAUGAUGCCCCACAUCUAGCUUGAGUGUUGUAUGGAAUAAUGCUCCACAUUUUACCCUUGUCAUAUCUGGUAUGAUGCCUCACAUCUGGCUCACGUGUUCAUGUGGAAAAAUGCCCCACAUUUGGCGUUUGUCAUGUGUGGUACGACGCCCAAAAUCUGGCCUUUAAACAUGUGUGCUAUGACACCCCACGUCUGGCCUUUAUGUACUCAUGACAAUUUCAUGCGUGCUUAAAACAUUAUCAUUGUGAGACCUCAACCUCUAUAGGCUUAUAACUAAGUAUAGAUGUAAUAAUACGAGUUAGGGGUAGUUUCGUUAUUUUCUCUAAUAAGCUUCUAGAAGAAAGUUUUAUGAUAUUUUAAGGCUUAAAUGGGUAUAAGACUGCAUAAAUGAUGUGUGCUGAUGAAAACAUGAAGAAAACUAAAAGUUUCAAUAAUUUUCAUAAUAGGGGCAAAAUGGUCAUUUUUUACCUCGGGUUAAAAUUUUAAGCUUUUAUGAACUCGAACAUGUCUAGACCAUUAGGGAUCUUGUCCCAGUGUUAAAAGAGCAAAAAGAUUACAUAAAAGAUUGAAGGAGAAUAAGUUAAUUGGUGGAGGGGUAUUUUUGUAAUUUUAAGAGAAAGGAUAAGAUUACCUAUAAAUAUCUUGAAUUUCUAGCAGCUUUUAGAGAUUUUCCAGCAGCUGGCCUUUUUCUUCUUCUCCUCUCUCACGUUUCUUCAAAACUCCAUGGAAGCUUGAUUGAAGCUUGAAUGAUUUUCUCUCUCUAGCUCUAGUUUUCACACCUUUGAACCCUUUUGACUAGAACCUUUGAAUUCUUUCAUCCUCUCACUUCAAAACCCUUGAUAAAGCUUAUUUCCAAACUUGCUCUCACUAGUUGGGCAUUUUAGAGAGAGAAAGAGAGAAUUACUCCAUUGAUUUGGAAGCAAUUGGAAGAGAAUUUGACUACAAAGGAGCCCUAGGGUAAGUAAUGAACUAAGCUCGAUUUUUAGUUGCAAAAAAUGGCUAGUAAUUGGGAUUUAUGAGCUGUUUUAUUGUUGAUUAUGUUCAUUACUUUUUAGUGAUUAAGAUAGUGAACAUAGAUAGCCGUUUAAUGUGGCAAUUGAAAACUAGCUAAGAGAUAGCUUUUAGAGUUCAUAGUGUGUAAAUUGAUUUAUUGUUUAUGUUAAUGUGAUCCUAGGUUUUAAGGAAGCCCCAUCAUCUCAUUUGGACAAUUAGGGGAAUUGGAGUCAUCUAAAGGCUUUACAAUCAAUUGGUGAGUGGACUGCCUUCAAAACUUAUUUUGGGAAUAUAAUGUAUUUGACAAACGUUUGAAUGAUUUUAUACGAUUUUUCAUGAAAAUGAAUGCCUUGGGAACAAGCUCUUGCGAAAUGAUUUAUGUUAUGAUAUGUGGUUAUUAUGGAUUUCUAUGUGGCUGCAUUAUGUUGAUAUACAUAUAUGCUUGAAUAUAAUGUUGUGUAAUUAUAUUGACUCGGCUAUGUGCGAGUAGGGAGUGCGCAUAACCCGGUGAUGACCCAGCCAUGUGCGAGUAAGGAGUGCGCAUGAGCUGGUGAUGAUGAUGUUGGGAUGGUGUGAUGAUGAUGAUGGGUAUAUGCGUAUAUAUAUAUAUACAUAUGUAAAUAUGUGUGUUAUAGGAAAUUGAUGGAUAAUGGUUUAUGGUUGUAAUGCGUGUGAAACUUGACAUGUUAAACCUUGAGAAAUUGUUAUGUGUUUCAUAUUGAUUUUGAAAGGGUAGGCUGGCCGAAAACUUGCUGCAGUGAGAAUGACACUGUAGCUUCUCGCUGCAGCGAGAAACUUUCUGUUUCUGGGUUGCAAUUUCGCUGCAACGAGAAACAUUUUGUUUCGGGGUUACAAUUUUGCUGCAGUGAGAUUCAAUCUCGCUGCAGCGAAAAACUUUAUGUUUUGGUCUCCUAUCUUGUUCAAUUGCUGCCCUAUCUUUUACUUCUUUGCUACCAUAUCGGAGCAUGGACUUCCAACAUUAAGGAUUAAAUGAGUUAAGUUUAAAAAUGAGGAGGUUUAGUGAGAAAUCCUUGGCCAGUUGAGAAACCCUCGUUCGGUUAUUAACUAAAUCCCAACGUCACUGCAACGAAAAUUCAUUCUCUGUAGCAAAGAUUCGUUGUCGUAUUUGACUUACUUGUGUAAUAUUAAAGCUUUUAUUAUUCAAAUGGUUCGUUAUGUAUGGGUUAAUGAUUUUCAAAUGAUUAAUCAUUUAAAGGCUUGAUGAGGGGUUUUUAAUAAGAAUAGAAACAAAUUGCAUUGCUUUGAAAAAGAAUGCAUCAUAAUUUCAUUAAAGAUUCCUUAUGGUAUGCUUGUUCCUUUCCUUGUUCAUUCACUGAGUUUAUACUCACCACUUUCAAAUUCAUGUUUUCAGAUCAUGAGGCAGCCGGUAACUAGGACGAGGUGUCCUCAUAGACCUGUGUCCAUCUUUUGGUAGGUGUCUCGGCAUUCAGUAGCUGUACAUUCAUCCGAGUCCCUCUGUUGGAAGUCGAGUGUUAUUUUGUUUUGUAUAGACAAACUUAAUGUAAAUUAUUAGAAUACAUAUUGUAGACAUUGUAUGUAAAUUUUUAAGGAGUAACGCCAGUACAAGUUGGUAAUGUAUAUCACUAUUUUGAUUCAAAAGUAUGAAAUAUGACUUAGCGAUAUUUGAUGGAAUGAUGAGUAUGAUAAAUCGAUUGGCUUGCUUGGGCUUAAUAGACUAUGUUUAUUGGGCUCUUGCGCCGGUCAUGGCCCGAAAAUUUGGGUCGUGACAAUCAUUGCACAAUAUUCAAUAAUCACAAUUUAUGAUAAUCACAUUCUAUCAUUUUUAUCCAUAACAUAAUUUCACCAGUGAGUAUUAUUACAUCCACCCAUAAUCAUUAAGUGGUGGAGACUUACUCAUCCACUCUCAUAAUUAUAUGUUUAUAGGCAUUUUACCAUCCACGUUUAACAAUCAAGUGGUGGAGACUUACUCAUCCACUAUUAUAACUAUGUUUGUGGGCAUUUUACCAUCCACAUUUAACAAUUAAAUGAUGGAGACUUACUCAUCCGCUUUCAUAAUUAUGUUUGUGGUUAUUUUACCAUCCAAAUUCACCUUAUUGUAGAGGCGUCUCAUUUGACCCACACUAACACAAAGGCUAGGGUGGUUUGCCUAAUAUUUCACAUUCACACAUAAAUGGGAAGGUAUGUAUUCAUCUACCUAGGUUUCAACCUAGCCAAGCACCAAUUGCACAACAUACAUCUAAUCGAUGAGUAUUUGAAUAGAAUCAUUUGAUAGGGCUUGUAUUUCCCUUGUUGAAAACUAAUACGUAUUAAAGGUAUUUACUACAUAGUAGAUUGAAAUCUUUGUUGAAAAUAUUUAUUCUUAUACUAUACAAUUUAUCAAAACCAUAAUAUCAUUCAAAACAUCCAAGUCAUCCAAAUCGAUAAAUCAUGCUCAACGUUACCAUAUAAAGUACUUAAAGCAGUGUACCCACUCACCUCGAUAGGAAGUGUAUUCUUUUCCUAAGCUUUGUGUCAUAAAAAUCUUGCUCGUCUAGAAUCACGAGCUCUAGCAAUCACCUAUCACAACAAUUCUAGCAUAAAUCCCUAUUUCUUCAAUCAAACCCAUUUAUUGGAAACUAACUGAUUAAACUCAUAUUUUUUUGUUUCAAAUCAAUAACCCACAAUACUUCAAACCUUAAUCAUUAUUACCUUCUCAACCUUGUUGAAGACGCAAAAAAUCCCAAAAUCCUUGCUCAAAUUCAGAUUAAAUGAGUUAAAAUUUAUAAAACCUUUGAGUUAGAUUGAAACAUUAUGAUUAAAAUCCAAAAAUGCCAAAUCUUAAGUUAGAUUUGAGUUUGGAAGGUUGAAUGUUUGUCCAAUGGGGUUUUGAAAGGUUAGAGCAGGGUUUGGUGAUUGUUAGGGAUCAGUUGGAGGUUGAGAAAAUGUAUAGUGAAGGUUAUGGGUUGCUUUUAACACUUUAUAUACUAAUCUAUCAAAAGUCGCAAUAAUUGACUACCCAAAUUCUGUAGUCGACUAUGGUUGUGUUUUUUUCAAGAAUUUCAUACUUUUUGUUAUAAGAUCAACUAGGGAAGUUAUAGGGCUGACUAUGGUUGUGAAUUCUUCAAGAUUUUCAUACUUUCUGCCAUAGGAUGACUUGUAAACAUUGGGGCUGGAUCUUUCAAGUUCAAACUUGUUAAAAUACAUUCUUUGGCUUCCUUUUACAACCAUUCCUUCUCCCGUCAUUCAUCCAUUAAUUUAACACAAUAAUAUGGAGGGAUUUACAUCAAAUGACUGCUGGCUCCAUUAGUUUUUGAUGAUAAUAAAACAUUCCCAUUCAUUUAUGUCUAAUAUCUCUACUUAAGUGUGCAGGACAAAAAUUAUAAGCAAAUAAUUAAUCAAUCAUUCAAAUGCACAUAUCAAAGAGCAUAAGAAUAAGGAAGUCACAAUUGAUCAACAAGACAGAAGCCCCUUAAUCGAUUAAUGAAAAGUUAGUCAAUUAAGAUUUAAACCAGAAGUUGGCGGGCUGAAGAGUAUUGAGAGACAAAAAAGACUUAGUCAACCAAGGAAUAAGUUAGUCGACUAAGAAGCUACUGCCAGAAAUCUAGACUUCAAGACAAAACCAACUUAGUCGACCAAGAAAUAAGUUAGUCGACUAAAUGCUUACUGCUAGAAACUAGAAACAAAAAACAGAGACAACUUAGUUGACUAAGACAUAAGUUAGUCAACUAAGAGCAUUCUGCCAGAAAAUUUGAAUUGUGCACUAGAAGAUAGAUUAACGGCUAGAAUUGCAACAAAACUAUUUUCAAUGGUCAAAAACUAUCUAACUCACUUUAGAAUUGAUUUUCCAAGUGUAAAAAAGGGUUCCAACGGCUAGAAAUGUAAUGAAGGCUUCCAAGAACACAAAAAGAGCUCAAGAACUAGAAAAUAUUCUCUUCUCAUUUACUGCACUCAACUCCUAUCUUUGUAAUGGUGAACUGCACUUCACUUGGUACCACUUAGAUCAACCUUGUGAUCAUAGGUACACUUUCUUCACUUCUCUCCUUGUAUUCUUAGAGUGAGCGAGUCACUCUAAGGGAUUGAUUCAAGCUAGGAUUGCUUGAUUGAGUAUAGGUUUUAACUUAGCCUUGAAAAGUUAGGUGUUGGAUUUUAGUUGAUCCUUGUAAAAACUAUUGUGAAAGAUUUUGGCUAAGCUUGGUAAAAGCCAUUGUAAAAGCUUGGUGAAAGCUUAUGAAUUUCACCGUUCUUAGUGGAUUGUUUGGAAAAUCCUUGAUUGACCAAUCAAGGUAGUGGAUGUAGGUCUUAGACUGAUCCACUCUAACUCCGUGAGCAUUGUCUACUCUGUUUUUAUUUUCAUUGCUUCUCAAAUUAGUUUCUCAUGUUGUUAAGAGCCAAAUUGUGCUAUUCACCCCUCCUCUGGCACAUUUACUUGGGACCAACAAGUGGUAUUAGAGCCUAACCCUUGUUAUUAAGGUUUAAAACCCUUGGGAAGAUCCAAAUGGCUCUACAAAAAUCAGUAGUUGUUGAGGGACAAUCAACAAACAGACCACCUUUGCUUGAUGGCUCUAACUAUCCUUAUUGAAGUACUAGGAUGUCAAUAUAUAUUGGAGUAAUUGAUUAUGAGAUGUGGGACGUCAUAACUGAUGGACCAUUCAUUCCCUCAACUUUAAAUGUGGUGACCAACAAGAUGAUCCCUAAGCCAAGAUUUGAAUGGUUCAAGGCUGAAACCAAAAAGGUCCAAACCAAUUUUAAGGCUAUCAAUACAUUACAUUGUACUCUAAUUCCCACUGAAUUUAAUAAAGUAUCAAGCUGUAUCACAGUAAAACAAGUGUGAGAUUAGCUUAGAAUUAUUCAUGAAGGGACUUCUCAAGUCAAGGAGUCCAAGAUAGCCCUUUUAAUCCACAAUUAUUAAAUGUUUAAGAUGGCGCAUAGUGAAGAUAUCACCAGCAUGCUAGAUAGAUUUACAAAUAUCACAAACAAACUUAGUUAGCUAGGCUAACAAAUUCCCAAGCAUGAAAUUGUUAAAAGACUUCUUAGAAGCCUACCCAAAAAUUGGAAGCCUAAGGUGAUAGCCAUCCGAGAAGCCAAGGACUUAAAUGUUAUAACUUUGGAUGAAAUUUGUGGUUCUCUUCUUACUCAUGAGCUAGAACUCAAGGAAGAGGAAGAAAAAGAUAUGAAAGAAGCUAAAGAAAAAAAGAAGAGCAUCGCCUUCAAAGCCAGCAUUCUUGAAGAAGAACUGGAUGAGCUAUCCUGUGAUGAUGAUGAAAAACUAGCGCUGGUUGCUAAAAGAUUCAGAAAACUGAUGGGCAAAAGAAAUCGGAGACUAGCUAGAAGAGGGUUUAGAAAAGAUUAAGGUUCUUCAUGGAGACCCAAAAAUAAAAAUGACUCCAAUAAAAAGAAAGAGUUACAUGCUUCGAAUGCAAGAAGCCUAGACAUUUCAAGUUAGAAUGCCCCUUGCUGAAAGAAGAAACUCCAAAGAAAAACAAGAAAUCAAAGAAAGCAAUGGUGGCAGCUACUUAGUUAAGUAGUGAUACUUCAAGUUCUGAAGCUAAGGAAGAAAAAGUUGAAGAAAGAGCAAACUUGUGUUUGAUGGCAUAGGAUGAUGAAUCCGAGGUAUCCUCAUCCCCUUGCAAUAUUUCUGUUGAUGAACUUCAGAAAGACUAUGAAUAUUUGUAUGAUGAAUUUGAGAAACUUGUUUUGAAAAACAAGACUUUAAAGAAAAAAUCUACAUCUCUAGAAUCAAAUUUGGAAAAGAUUAAACUUGACUUUGAUUCUGUUUUUGAACAAAGAAACUUUCUGCAAAUUGAAUUGGAACAUUCAAAAACAGAUUUUGAAACUCUAAAAUUAGAAUUGGAAAGCAAAACUGAAGCCUUACAAAAGGUAAGUGAAGAAAAUGCUGCACUCAAAAGUUUAAAAAAUGAAACUUAAAGUAGAAAUUCAUACUUCAAGAAAAAUUAUGUUAAGACAUCAUCUAGGUGUUAUAUUUGCGAUAAAAUUGAUCAUCUAUCUUAUGAUUGUUGUAGAAAAAGAAAUGUGAAGAAAAUUAGAAAAAUUUUGGUUCCAAAAGGAUCCUUUGUUGCUACUAACAAUAAAGGACCCAUCAAGAUAUGGGUACCUAUUAAGAAAAACUAAAAAUUUGUUUUGUAGGUUCAACUACACUCAAAAGAUACAUGUUCAAGAGCUCAACUAAAGAAGAAGCAACCUUUGUAUAUGGACAGUGGCUACUCAUGGCACAUGACAGGAGAUGAAAUGCUAUUUGCUUAGCUAGACAAAAGAAAGGGAGGUAUCGUAUCCUUUGGUGAUGAUUCAAAAGGUAGAAUUCAUGGCAUAGGAACGGUUAGUAAGAACUCCCAAACUCAACUUAGUCAUGUGUUAUUGGUUAAAGGUUUGAAACAUAAUUUAUUAAGUAUUAGCUAAUUGUGUGACAAAGGUUUUAAGGUAUGUUUUGACUCAACAAAAUGUGAAGUGAUAGACAUAAGUACUAAUAAAGUCUCAUUUAUAGGAAGAAGAUUAAAGAAUAUGUAUGUUGUAUUUCUUAAGGAUCUUGAAAUGGAUUGUGAAAUAUGUCUUGUAGCAAAUGCUGAAAAUGAUAGUUGGUUAUGGCAUAGUUGUGAGACCUCGACCUCUAUAGGCUCGUAACUAGAUAUAGACGCAAUAACUCGGGCUGAGGGUAAUUUCGUCAUUUCCUUAGUAAGCCCCUAAAAGUAAAUUUUAAACAAUAUUAAGGCCUAAUUAGGCUUAAGGCAUAAAUGAAUGAUGAAAGUAUGGGUAAAAUGACAAGAAAACAAAAUUUUUGAUGAUUUUCAUGAUAGGGGUAAAAUGGUCAUUUUUCACCUCAGGUUAAAAUUUUUAAGUUUUCAUGAACCCGAGCAUUUCUAGACCAUUAUGGACCUUGUUCUAGUGUCAAAAGAGUAAAAAGCUUGCAUAAAGGAUUAGAAGAGAACAAAACAAGCUAAUUUGUGGAGGGGCAUUUUUGUAAUUUAAGUGAAGUGGAUAAGCAUGGGAUAUAAAUAUCUUGUUCUUCCAACAGCUUCUUUAUUCUCCAAUAGCUUUUCUCCUUCUUCUUCCUCUCAUCUCACGCUGCUUUCAUCCCCUAUGAAAGCUUGAUAAGAAAGCUCCACAACCUUUCUCAAAUAGCUCCAAAUUUCAUGCUUUUGGUGCACCCUUUCCAUAAACCCUUGUGCUCUUCCACUCUGUCUCCUUAAAACCCUUGAAAAAAUCUUAUUUCCAUACUCUCUUUCACUAGUUAGGUGUUUUAGAGAGAGAAAGAACAUGCUUCAAAAAUAGCUUGAAAGUUUUGGAAAGAAUUUCAAAUACAAGCUACUAAGGUGAGUAGUACACUAGAAUUGAGUUUUGGUGUUGAGAAUGAUUAGUGUUUAGAUUUGGCGGUGAAUUGGUAGUUGGGGUUGUUCAUUCAUUUUAGAGUGAUAAGGGUAGCGAGAAUAGAUAGCCAUUUAAAUGGCCAUUGAAAUCUAGCUAAGAGAAAGCUUUUAGAAUUUAUAAGUAUGUGGCUUGAACUAAUGGUGAUGCAAAUGUGAUAAUAGGUUCCAACGGAGCCCCAUCACCCCAUUUGGACAAUUAGAGAAGUAGAGUCAACAAAAGGUUCAACAAGAUACCGGUGAGUGAACUUGCAUUUCAAAAUUUAUUUUGGGAAUGUAAACUUAUUUGCACAAUAUACUUGAAUGAUUUUAUCCAACUUUCCUUAAAAACAAGUGCCUUGGGAACAAGCCUUUGAUAAAUUGAUUUUAUGUUAUGACAUGCGGUUGUUAUGGAUUCAUGCACUACUACUUUAUGUUGGUAUAUAUAUAGAUAUAUAUAUAUAUUGUGCAUGAUGGUUGAUAUUGUGUGAUAAUUAUAACCGUGUGUGAGCAUGAUGUGGGGGAAUGCACAUGCCGGUAAUGGUGGUGGUGAGGGAGAUAGAUGAUGAUAGUGCCCGUGUGCACGAUGUGGGGGGAUGUACACGAUGGCACUGAUUGUGCACGAUGUGGGGGGAUGCAUAAGAUGACUCCGGCUAUGUGCACGAUGUGGGGGGAUGCACAUGAGCUGGAUGUGAUGAUAGUGGUAUUAGUAUUUAUCCAUGUAUGUAUAUGUAUAUAUGUUUAGAGAAUGAAAACUCAUGUAUAUGGUUUAUGGUUGAAAUGCAUAUGAAUUUGGCAUGUUGAGCUUUGGAAAUCUUUAUGUGUUUUAUGUUGAUUUUGUAAUUUUAGCAGGAUGGCUUUUUCUUGAAAGGAAGGAAACUUUUUUCUCACUGCUCUGUUUCUCGCUGCAGCGAGAAACUCUCGGGUUGGAGGGGUAAGGCUGGUUGGAAAUCUCACUGUAGCGAGAAACUUUCUAUUUUAUGACCAAAAAUUUCGCUACAGCGAGAUUCAUUCUCGCUGUAGCGAAAAACUUUCUGUUUUGCUUCUCAUUUGGUUCGGUUGCUACUUUAUUUUCCAUUUCUUUGACACCAUAGUUGAGCAUGGACUUCCAACAUUAAGGAAUAAAUGAAUUAAGUUUAAAAUAAGGAGGUUUGCUGAAAAACCCUCGGCCAGUUAAGAAAUCCUCAGCUAGUUGAUAAUUUAAGUUAAGUGUCGUUGUAGCAAAAAUUCAUUCUCGUUACAGCGUAUGCCUUUUCGCUGCAGCGAGGACCUGUCGUUUAUUUAACUUGAUUUGCAUGAAUGCUAUUAAAGUUUUCACUCUCCAAAUCCUUUUUUGAGCAUGGACCCUUUUCAUAAAGUGAUUUACUCAUGUGGGGUUUACAUGAGGGGUUUUAAUAAGAACUAAAAUAAAUUGCAUUGUUUUAAAAAAUGAAUGCAUCAUGAUUUCGUUAAACAUUCCUUAAUGUUUGCUUGUUCCCUUCUUGUUCACUCACUGGGUUUAUACUCACCGUUUUCAACUUAAUGUUUUCAGAUCAGGAGGUAGUUGGUAAUUCGGUCAAGGUGACCUCGUAGAUUCGACUAUUGGUGGGUGUCUCGGCAUUCAUUAGCUGUACAUUUGCCCCGAGUCUCUCCCCUGGAAAUCAAGUCUUCUUUUUGAGAUGUAUAGACAACCCUGAUGUAAAUUAUUAAGAUACAUGUUAUAGACAAUGUAUAUAUAUAUACUUGAUUGACAUGCCACUAUGAGUUGGCAAUGUUUAGUAUUAUUUUGAUUCAAAGUUAUGAAAUAUGACUUCAGUAAUUUUGAUGGAGUAAUGAACAGAUCAUGAAAAUAGGCUUGCUUGGGCUUAGUGGGCUAUGUCCAUUGGGCCCAUACGCCGGUCAUGGCCCAGAAUUUGGGUCAUGACAAUAGUAGAUUUAGACAUGUGAGCAUGCAUACCAUGUCAAAGUUGAUUAGAAAAAAUUUAGUUGUUGGACUGCCGGAUCUUAAAUUUGAAAAUGAUAAGAUAUGUGAUGCUUGCCAACUGGGAAAACAAGUUAGAACAUCCUUUAAGACCAAGAAAGUUGUCUCCACAUCUAGACUUCUUGAAUUGAUGCACAUUGAUCUAUUUUGUCCAAUAAGUACAACUAGUCUAAGAGGAAACUCUUAUGGCUUUAUAAUAGUUCAUGACUACUCUAGUCACACUUAGGUAUAUUUCCUUGCUCAUAAAAAUAAUGCUCUACCAGCAUUCAUAAGUCAUUGUAGGAAGGUUGAAAAAUGAAAUAAAGACUAGCUAUAGUUAGUAUUAGGAGUGAUCAUGGAGAUGAGUUUGAAAGAGAUGAAUUUGAGAAUUUUUGUAAUAAAAAGGGGUUGGAUCAUAAUUUUUCUACACCUAGAACACCCCAGAAAAAUGGAGUUGUAGAGAGGAAAAACCGAACAUUGAAAGAAAUGGCUCGAACUAUGCCAUGUGAGAACAAUCUACCUAAAUACUUUUGGGCAAAAGCUGUUAAUACAACAGCUUAUGUCCUUAAUAGAGUGUCUAUAAGAGGCAUGAUAUCAAAGACUCCAUACAAACUGUACAAAGGUAGGAAACCAAAUAUCUUUCACCUUAAGAGCUUUGGCUGUAAGUGUUUUGUAUUGAACAAUGGUAAACAACCUUUAGGAAAGUUUGAUGCAAAGAGUAAUGAAGCUAUAUUUUUAGGACAUGCAUUAAACUCAAAAGCCUAUACAGUCUUCAACAAAAGAUCUUUAACGGUUAAAGAAUCCAUCCAUGUAGUUUUUGAUGAAUCCAAUACCUUGCAAAAGGAAAUUUUUGAUGAUAAACAUGACAUAGAUGAUCUUAAAAAACAAAUGGAAGAGAUGAGUUUAGAUAAUAAGAAAAAUAGUGAAGAAAUACCUUAGGUAGAGAAACAAAACCUUCACCCAUAGAAUCCCUACAAAGAAUUGAAAAUCAGCAUAAUGACCUUCCAAGGAGUUUGAGAUAUGCAAAAGACCACCCACAAGAACUAAUCAUAGGUGAUAUUUCACACGGUGUUAAAACUAGAAGAGCAACAAGAGAGACUUAUGGGUAUUUAGCUUUCAUAUCUCAAAUUGAGCCUAAAACAUUUAAGGAAGCAGAAAAAGAGGAAAGUUGGAUAUUAGCCAUGCAAGAGGAACUUGAUCAAUUCAAAAGAAACCAUGUAUGGUCAUUAGUCUCUAGGCCUAUAAACCACUUUAUUGUUGGAACAAAAUGGGUGUUUAGAAAUAAGGUAAAUGAGAAAGGGAAUGUAGUUAGAAAUAAAGCUAGGUUGGUAGCCCAAGGAUAUAACCAAGAAGAAGGAAUAGACUGUGAUGAAACCUUUACACUGGUUGCUAGGAUAGAAGCUAUAAGAUUACUACUUGCAUUCGCUUGCUUUAUGAACUUUAAGUUAUUUCAAAUGGAUGUAAAUAGUGCAUUCUUAAAUGGUUUCAUCCAAGAAUAAGUUUAUGUUGAGCAACCCCCCAAUUUUAAGGACUUUUAAAAACCAUAUCAUGUUUUCAAACUUCACAAAGCCUUGUAUGGAUUGACACAAGCUCCUAGAGCUUGGUAUGAGAGGCUUUCAAAAUUUUUGGUUCAAAAAGGUUAUCUUAAAGGUAGUAUUGACACAACAUUAUUGAUCAAAAGAUACUUAAAUAAUUUAGUUGUUGUUCAAAUUUAUGUGGAUGACAUUGUGUUUGGUGCAACUAAUGAGGCUUUAUGUAAGAAUUUUGCUAAAGAGAUGUAGGGGGAAUUUGAGAUGAGCAUGCUAGGUGAGCUGAAGUACUUUCUUGGCCUCCAAAUCAAACAAAGUGAAAAAGGAAUCUUCAUCAACCAAGAAAGAUACAUUCAAGACAUGCUCAAAAAAUUUGAUAUGCUGAAGUUGAAAUCAAUUUGCACACCAAUGAGUCCAUCCACCAAACUUGAUGUAGAUGAAAAAGAAAAGGAUGUUGAUCAAAAGCUUUAUAGAGGUAUGAUCGGAUCACUACUCUAUUUAACAGCCAGCAAGCUUGAUAUUCAAUUCUCUGUGUGUUUGUGUACUCGUUUUCAAUCUCAACCCAAGGAAUCACAUCUGACUAUUGUUAAAAGAAUUUUUAGAUACCUCUUAGAUACACAAACUUUAGGAAUAUGGUAUCCUAGGGAAUCAUCCUUUAGUUUAGUUGGAUAUUCUGAUGCAAAUUUUGCUAGCAACAAAACAGAUAGAAAGAGCACUAGUGGAACCUGCCAGUUUCUAGAUAGUAUGCUUGUGUCAUGGUCAAGCAAAAAGUAGAAUUCAGUUGCCUUGUCCACAGUUGAAGCCAAAUAUAUAUCUCUAGGCAGUUGCUGAGCUCAAAUCUUGUGGAUUAAAUAACAACUAAAAGACUAUGGAAUAUCAAUGCAUAACAUACCAAUAUAUUGUGAUAAUACAAGUGCAAUCAACAUUUCAAAAAGUCAUGUGCAGCAUUCCAGGACUAAGCAUAUUGAGAUUAGACACCAUUUUGUUAGAGAUCACAUAGUGAAAGGUGACAUUGAAAUUGAGUUUGUAAAUACUUUACAUAAAUUAGCUGACAUCUUCACAAAACCCUUAGAUAAGGAUAGAUUCUGUGAGAUUAGAAGAAAUUUAAGAAUGGUUAGUAUGUAGGAGCUUUAGGAAAAAUUUUGAAAUUUUCUAAAAAGAUAGUAGGCACUUAGUUGACUAAGAGAGGCACUUAGUCAACUUAGAGCAUUCUGUCUCUUUAAAUAAUAAGACUCAGUUAGUUAGAGGAGAAUGAAUAAAAUAGUAAAAAGAAAUAGUAUAUCGGGUGAAGGAAAUGGGCACAAAAUACUUCCCAGCUGAAAAAUAAAAAUGAGAGGCAAUUUUCAAAUUUUGAAUAGAAGAAAAAUUGACAAUAUUUUAAGGGGAGGCAGACAGUUUUUGGAGAGAUUAAACUGCCAUUAACUCAUUUCCUCUACAUUUUCUCUCCUUUGAAAUCAACCCACCUAAAACUGAAACCUACCCACUCAAAUUCUCGAAACCCUCAGUCAAAAAUCUCUCAAAACAAAAUGGCAAAAUCCUCUCUAACCAAAGAGAUUGUUGGGAAGAAGAAAGGUAAACGACCAUUUGAAAUAGGCAUGCAAGCAGAAAUAUAGAAAAAGAAAUAAAAAAUUGUGUCUGCAUCUGCAAGUGAAAAAUCUGGAAAAUUACAGAAAGAAAAGGAGCAGAAAACAGAGAAGGGAAAAUCAUCUAAGAAAGGCAACAUCUCAUCCUCCAAGUUUAAGAAUAAAGCCCAUGAAGAUAGAUACAGAAAUUAGAGAAUGCCCCUAUCACUUGUGGUAAAUUCAUUGACUGGAACAGUUUUAAUGAAAUUCCAAAAAUUCAAACAAGCUUAGCAGAUUAUUUUAAGGAAUUAAAACUUAAGGAGUUCAGUUCAUUUAAGAAUCGAUCCUAUAGUGCUAGUUUAUUUAAAGAAUUUUAUGCAAGUAUAGCACUAGACAAGGAUGAAAUAGAGGAGCUUGAUGAGUAUAUUGAGAAUGGUCUGAAUGUCUUUUUGAAUGGGAAGAAAUUUACUAUUACUGUUGUAGAUUUAGAGAACUUACUUAAAAUCAAAUGUGAGGAAGGUGAGUUUGAGUUCCCAGAAAAUUAUGAUCCCUCAUCCUUAUGGGAAAUUAUCAUAGGGAAGAAAGAAAAAUGCUCCUCCAAAAGUAAUGUCGGCCUUAUUACAAGUCCUCAAAUUUGGAUUUUGCAUUAGUUUGUUGCUGGAACAUUCAUGGUAGGAGUGGAAGUUUUAGCUACAUUAUCCUCCAAGAUCUAUGGCUAAUGAAGCAUGCAUUUAGUGGUGUUUCACUGAACCUAGGUGGACUUAUGAUUGAGAUAAUGAGAGGAGCAUGUAGACUGGAGAAAAUAAAUUUGCCUUAUGGAAAUAUCAUCACAUGUCUGGUGCAGAAGAAAGGUAUUUGGAGCUAUAGGUAUGAAGCAGAUAAAGUAAAAAGUAGAGACCAAGCCAUUUACCUUGUAAGUUUGCCUAAAAUGGGGUAUAAGCUAGAUGGAGAAACCUUUGUUAAAACCCCCAAGGUUGCUACUGGAAAAGAAACUUCUCUACCUACACAUCCUAGAGCAUCCUCAUCUUAGUUCUCUAAUGAGAUGCUUUUUAACUUGCUCAUGAGGAUUGAUGGAAAGCUAACUGACCAAGGAGUAAGGAUGCUAAAAAUUGAAGAGAAAUUGGCAGAGCUUGAAAAUGUGCUGAAGGAAAAAGGAAAAAUGCCUUCCGAACCUACAGCUGUAGAUACCUCUAGAACUCCAAGUCUUGCAGAAGGGCAAGGUGCUGAAGGGUCUACUUUCUAGGCCGAGGGUCAAGAAUUUGAAAUAGAUCAACUAAGGAAAACCCCCUCACCUGAGCCACAAAAGGAAGCUGAGUCAGAACAAGGGAUUGAGGUACUUGGCUCACUGGAUAAGAAUCGUCCAUCCCCUUCAGAACCUUAUAAAGAGCAGCCUUCUCCUCCUCAUUCUUAGGAAGUAUCCAUCAUGGACAUUUUCCAUUAGAUGGUCAGGAAAGAGCAGGCAGAAAAGGAAGCAGCUAAAGCAUAAGCGCAGAAGUCUGCAUCCACUGAACCAGCUCCCACAGCAGAAAAACAAUCGGGUAAAGGAAAAGAAAAAGCUACUGUAGCUCCACAGGCCAAAUCAAAACCUCUUGGCAAAAGGCAUGAAAACAAUGGCAACCAAGACCAAAUUCCUCAAAAGAAGAAAAUCCUCUAGAAUUGCUGAAAAGGCUAGACCAACAACCAUUUCCUCUCCUUAAAACCCCUUGGAAAUUUCUGACAAAUCAUCCCCUGGAUAAUCACCACAAAAAUCACCACCAGAACCCUCUCCCAAACCUCUAAAUGUUUUUUAGGGCACUGAUGAAUCUACUUCUUCAACCUUUUUAGAGGAUUGAAACCCCCCUCAGAUUUAAUGAUGAAAAAAAGUGGGAGAAUUAGGAGAUAAGAAACUGGGGAGAUAGAAAGAGGGUAGAAAAAAACUAGGGAUAAUUUAGGAAUAUUGACUGUUGUUUUUAUUUUCCUGCUAUUUUUACUUUGACAGUUGAACAAUUAAAUUUAACUUUGAUGUUAGAUGUUUUUGAAUGCUGAAAGACAUUGUGGUUUAUUGUUUUUUAUGUUUACAAGUUGAUGGUUGAAUAUUUAAAUAUGUUAUUGGAGUAUCUGCCAUUGAGUUUCUACUGCUGCUUUGGUGAUGAUAUUGAGCUAUUGUGCUAAUCAUUAAUAGUUGAUAUGAUAUUAUGAGUGAGAUUUAGAUGAAAAUAAAUAUGAAUGCUGAUAUUUUUUACUAUAUGGUUUAUGGCAUUUAGCUUUGCAAUGAAUUAAGUCUGGAAACAAUAUGACAAACAGCAAGCUGAAAUAGUAAUAAUGUUCUGUCAUCAUGUCACUUACUGCUUAUUAUUCCAUAAGCUUGUAUAAAUAUAUUUUGUCAAAAAUUUGAACCUUUACAUGUCAUUUUCUGUAUAACAAGAAUAAAAACAUGCUGAGAUGAAUAAUAAAACUAUGCACACACUAAGGGGAAGCACACACUUAGGGGGAGGAAAACCUCCAUUUUGUGCAGAAGUAAAAAGAAUAAAAAGACAUUAUGUUUUUAACCAAGGAAUGUUUUGUUAUCAUCAGAAAGGGAGAGAUUGUUGGUUCUAUUAGUUUUUGAUGAUAAUAAAACAUUCCCAUUCAUUUGUGUCUAAUAUCUCUACUUGAGUGUGCAAGACAAAAAUUGUAUGAAAAUAAUUAAUCAAUCAUUCAAAUGCGCAUAUCAAAGAGCAUAAGAAUAAGGAAGUCACAAUUGAUUAACAAGAUAGAAGCCCCUUAGUCGAUUAAUGAAGAGUUAGUCAGCUAAGAUUUAAACCAGAAGUUGGCAGGUUGAAGAGUAUUGAGAGACAAAAAAGACUUAGUUGACCAAGGAAAAAGUUAGUCGACUAAAAAGCUACUGCUAGAAAUCUGGACUUCAAGAUAGAACCAUCUUAGUCAACUAAGAAAUAAGUUAGUUGACUAAGUGCUUACUGCCAGAAACUGGAAAUAAAAAAUAGAGACAACUUAGUCGACUAAAGGCAUUCUGCCAGAAAAUUUGAAUUGUGCACUAGAAGACAGAUUAAUAGCCAGAACUGUAACAAAACUAUUUUCAAUGGGCAAAAACUGUCUAACUCACUUCAGAGCUAAUUUUCCAAGUAUAAAAGAGGGUUCCAACAGCUAGAAAUGUAAUGAAGGCUUCCAAGAACACAAAAAAGCUCAAAAACCAGAAAAUAUUCUCUGCUCAUUUACUGCACUUAACUCUUAUCUUUGUAAUGGUGAAUUGCACUUCACUUGGUACCACUUAGAUCAACCUUGUGAUCAUAGGUACACUCUUUUCACUUCUCUCCUUGUAUUCUUAGAGUGAGUGAGUCACUCUAAGGGAUUGAUUCAAGCUAGGAUUGCUUGAUUGAGUAUAGGUUCUAACUUAGCCUUGAAAAGUUAGGUGUUGGGUUUUAGUUGAUCUUGGUUAAAACUAUUGUGAAAGGUUUUGGCUAAGCUUGGUAAAAACCAUUGUAAAAGCUUGGUGAAAGCUUGUGAAUUUCACCAUUCUUGGUGGAUUGUUUAGAAAAUCCUUGAUUGAACAAUCAAGGUAGUGGAUGUAGGUUUUGGACCGAUCCACUCUAACUCCCUGCGCAUUGUCUACUCUAUUUUUAUUUUCAUUGCUUUUCAAAUUAGUUUCUCAUGUUGCUAAGACCCAAAUUGUGCUAUUCACCCCACUCUCGCACAUUUACUUGGGACCAACGAUGACAAGGAAUUCUCACAAUAAAUGUCACCAACAUAUAAUUCAUCAAAGUUCAAGUUUUCACCUAAUUUCCAUAAUACGAAAAAUUAGGGUUCGCAUUCUUUACCUUUUAAGAAAAUUCAUACUUGAAUUUAAAUUAACAUACUAGUCUAAACUACUAAAAAUAGACAUGGAUACUUUUUCGUCAUCUCGUCCUUGAGCUCUUACAUUCACUAGAGUGAUUUCACCAUUGCACUUUUACUAAGGCUAUCUUCUUGGAGCGAAGUUUCUUAACUUGGCUAUCUGGUAUGGCUAUAGGCUCCUUUACAUAACUCAAGUCAUCCUCUAAUGGAAUAGUCUUGUGUAUUGAAUCACGUGAGAUGGAUUUAGGCGAUGCUUCUUAAGCAUCAAAAUGUGAAAUACCAGGUGAAUGCUAGCAAGAUCUGGCAAAAGUGCUAGCUUAUAAGCUACAACGUCAAUCCUUUCGAGGAUCUCAAAUAGGCCAAUAUACCUUGGGCUUAACUUGUUCCUUUUACCAAAUCUCUUAAUGCCUUUGGUUGGAGAGACUUUAAGGAAUACAUGAUCACUAACCUUACACUUUAAGUCUGACCAUCGAUGGUUGGCAUAAGACUUUUAACGACUAGAUGCCAUCAACAUUUUUUCUCUAAUCAACUAUAUCUUGUCAAUGGUCUCUUGAACCAUCUCUCGUCCAAGUAACUUCCACUCACCAACCUUAAACCAACAUAUGGGUGACUUGCAUCUCCAUCCAUAUAUAACCUCAUAAAGCACCAUCUAAGUGUUGGACAAGAAAUUGUUAUCAUAAGCAAACUCAACCAAUGGCAAGUGUCAAUCCCAAGUGACUCCAAAGUCUACGACUCAAGUUCUCAGCAUAUCCUUUAAAGUCUAAAUUGUCUUCUCUGACUGACCAUCCAUUGUGAGUGGAAAGUAGUACUAAAGUUCAACUUAAUCUUCAAAGCUUCCUGAAUUUCCCCCUAAAAUCGACUAUUAAAUUACGUGCCUUUAUCUAACACUAUAGUGACUAGAACCCCAUGCAAUUGCACUGUCUCAUCCAUAUACAAACGAGCAUAUUGAGCUACUCCAUUAGUGGUCCUCACUAGCAGAAAAUGGAUGGACUUAGUCAGUCUAUUUACAAUCACCCAAAUAGAAUCAUAUCCCUUACUUGUAUAGGGUAGCCCAAUCACAAUCCAUAGAAAUAUGCUGCCAUUUUCACCUGAGAAUAGGCAAAGAUUGCAAUAAUCUGAUAGGCCUCUGAUGCUUUACCUUAACUUGUUGACACACUAAACACUUGGCCACAUAUUUAGCUACAUCUUUCUUUAGGCCUGCCCACCAAUACAUUUCCCUCAAAUCAUGAAACAUCUUGUAGGUGCUUGGAUGUACUACAUAUGCUGCCACAUGGACCUCCUCUAAGAACUCUCAUUUCGGAUUAUCAAUGUUGGGGACAUACAUUAUAGACCCAUAUUUGAGUCAACCAUCUAUGCCUCUAAUGAACAAUUGCCCUUUCCUCUCUCAAGGAUCCUCAAAAGCCUUUUCCAUAAAGUCAUCCUUGCUUUGGGCUUUGUUGAUACGAUCCAUCAACAUCUUCAUUCUAAAAUGGGCUAAUAGUGCCUCUGUAUUAUCAAUCUCAAAUUGAAUACCCAUAUUGCCCAAGUCGUGCAUUAUUUGUACUAGUGAUCUUUUAUCAAUUGGGAUGUGGGCUAAACUUCCCAUAGAUUUUUGGCUUAAGGGGUUCGCUACAACAUUGGUUUUGCCGAGAUGAUAUAAUAUAAUGCAAUCAUAGUCCUUAAGCAACUCCAUCCAUUAAUGUUGCCUAAAGUUGAGAUCUCUUUGCUCAACGAUCUAUUUAAGACUCUUAUGGUUUGUGUAGAUCUCACAAGUCUCACCAUAUAGAUAAUGCCUCCAAAUUUUUAAGGUGAAAACUAUGGCUACCAUCUCCAAAUCAUGAGUGGGGUAAUUUUGCUUGUGCUUUUUAAGUUGUUUAGACGCGUAUGUAAUCACAUUUCCAGUUGCAUCAGCACACAUUCAAGUCUAACUUGUGAUGCAUUGCAAUAAACUGUGUAACCCUUUGUACCACAUGGCAAACUCAACACUAGAGUUGUGGUAAGACAAGUCUUAAGCUUCUCGAAGCUCUCCUCACAUGAGUUUGACCAUAUGAACUUAACACCCUUUUAUGUUAACUUAGUCAUAAGAGUAGCGAUCUUAGAAAAAUCCUUAAUGAACCUAUGGUAGUAGCUGACCAAUCUCAAGAAACUACGGAUCACUGUCACCAAUGUCUGCCUUGGUCAUUUCUCCACCACCUCUGUUUUCUUUGGGUCCACUUUCACCUUGUCUUUAGACAUUAUGUGGCCCAAUAAGCAUACACUAUCAAGACAAAACUCACACUUGGAGAACUUGGCAUACAACUCAUGCUCCUCAAAGUUUGUAGCAUGAUCUUUAAGUGUUACUCUUGUUCUUCUUGACUCUUUAAGUAUACCAAAAUAUCAUCAAUGAACAUGACCAAGAACUUCAUUAAUCAAAGUGAAGUCCUUACCUUGGUUGUCAUUUUCCAACCUUGACAGAUGGUCCACUACUUGAUUCUCCAUGCCUUUUCUAUCUCUAAUUUCCAAAUCGAAUUCUUAUAGUAGCAAUAACCAUAUAUUCAGUCUUGGUUUGGCAUAUUUCUUAGCAAUCAAAUACUUAAUUGCAAAGUGGUUAGUAUAAACAAUAACUUUUGUGCCAAUCAAGUAAGAACGAAACUUAUUAAAUGCAUAAAUAACAACUAACAAUUCUUUUUCAGUAUUAGUGUAAUGCAUAUAAGUUUCAAUCAAGGUUUUGUUAGUAAGCAUAUAGAAUGAAAACUUAAGCUUUUCUCUUUCCUAAUAUUGCACCUAUAACAUAGUUACUAGCAUCACACAUAAGUUCAAAUAAGAGUGACAAAUCAAGAACUAUAAUAAUGGCUGUAGAUGUCAAUCUCUUUUUCAAUUUUAUAAAUACAGCAUGACAUACACCAUCAAAUUUAAAAGGAACAUCCUUUUCCAAGAGGUUACAUAAAUGUUUAGUAAUUUUGGAGAAAUCCUUAAUGAAUCACCUAUAAAAACAAACGUGACCAAGGAAACUUCUAACACCUUUUACCGAAUUUGGUGAUGGAAGCUUCUCAAUUGUCUCUAUAUUCGUUUUGUCCCGCUCCAAUCCUUUUGCAUGAAACCUUGUGACCACCAAGUCUUUAUUUUGAAAUAAGCAACAUAAUUGAAUUUUUAUGAAAUAAGAGAGGUUAAGAACACAAAUCAAAUUGAGAUAUAGAGAAAGAAAAUCAACAUAAUAGUUUUUAUAGAGGUUUGGCCUCCUUGCCACCAUCCUCUCCUUUAGAUUCAUUAAGGAGUUGAAAAUGUACUACUGAAAUAAAGUUCAAUACAAUGCCUUUUAUAGAUCAAGCACAACCAUUUUAUCUUUUACUUUGGUUAAGGUAUAACCACUCAAAUACUACCUUUUCAAUUGGUUAAGGUAUAACCGCUUACAAGAUUAUAAUAAAUGAGAUGGGUACAACAAGAAUGCCUCUUAAAGGAUGAGUAACAAGAUAAGUACAAUGCUUGGUGAUGAGGAAAGUAAGAAAUGAAAUCACAAUAAAUGGUACAGUUGAAGACUUAAAUGGUUUGAUAAGAGAAUAAAGAUUAUUGAAUGAUUGAAGCUAAAUUUUUCUCUUGGAAUUUUAUCUCAAAGUCUUUCAACCUUCAUAAAUGUGGUGGGAGCUUGUAUUGAUACUUGUUGAAACUUCUUGAGGUAGUUAGAGGUGCAUUUAAUGCAAAAAUAGCCAUUUUUCUUUAUAGUAUAGGCUCCAAUAGUCAUUAUCUAUUGAUAGAUAUUGAUAUCUAUCGAUAGAUUGCCAUCUUUAAUUUCAAAUUCAUGCCUAUCUAUCAAUAGAUAGAAGAAUCUAUCGAUAGAUACAAGUCAAGGGACCUUUGAGAUGCUCUCGAGUUGUUAUUUUUCGAUAGAUGGCAUUGAUCCUUUUUGCUUGUUUUCAAUUUAAAACACUUAGCUCAUUCAUUUAAAUAAUUUUAAAGACUUUUUAGACUUGUUUGAACAUCUGAAAAAUAAUUUUGAUCGCUUAUUUGUCAUUUCAAAACUUAGAAUCAAAUUGAAGUGAUAAAUUUAACAAUCUCCCCCUUUUGAUAUGACAAAACAAUGAGUAAAAUUUGUUUUUGUUUCUUUAAAAUACUUCCCCUAACUUAAUCCACCAAUUGUUUAGAUGGGGUGUGUGAUAAGUGAAAUAAGCACUCCCACUUAGUCUUUUGAAAAUUUGAUCCCUCUUAACUUUUUGAAAAUGAUUUUUUGUAAAAUGAGGAACAGAGACAAAUUUUUGACUACCUUGCCCCCUUUUUGUAAUAUCAAAAACAUUUUGAGGUUGUAAGGAAGGUGGAAUCAAACGGAGCCUGGUAAAUGCGAAAUUGCAAUUAAGUUAAGCAUAAUGGAAAUUGAAAUUGCAGUGUGAUAUAAAUUUUGGAACAAGGAAGUGCAAACUAAUGUCAUAUUGAAAAUAAUUGGAGAAUAUGUAAAUGAUCAACAUUAACCAUAAAGUUCAAACAUAACGAAAUAGAGAGAACAAACAUCCAACGACAAACAAAUAGUUACAUCCAAAAAUCUAUAAAUAGCAAACAUGUAUGUACAUCAAAAAAUCUAAGUAUGAUCAUGAACAAGUAAAUGCAUAAAAAAUUACAUGAUGCAUGAGAGUGAAAUGCACAUGUAGCCAUCCAACCAAGGUGUUUGUAAAUCAAGGCGAAAAUAUGUCUCCUCUGAGGACUCAAGACAGUGGCGAAAAUUGAAUUUUGAACUUAUCCUCCAAGUCUCAUUGGCACUGUAGAAUCUCACAAUUUUGUGCCUUGAAAACGUCCAUACGAAUAGUUAACCUAGAGUCUAUGGUUUCCAUAUACGAGAGAAGUCUAGUGAAGGCCUAUUUGACAUCAAAUGUGUCACGACCCGGUACUCCCUUCGAGCCCAUGACAACCGCCGUGAUGUCUCGAUAGACAUUCAUUACUCGGAAUGUCAACUGAAACCUCGCAAGGCUCUUGCAUCAAUUUUAUGUCUCCCCUGUGAGCAACAGUUACUAAAUAUCAUGUUUUAAGGGAAUAUAAACUAUUUUAAAAUAAAAAACAAACAAAAAGUAGUUUCUGCCACACAAGGCUAUUUUGGUCAUUUUUACCCGAAAAUUUUGAAACCUGGUGAAAAUACAACUUACAAUCGAAAAAUAUACAUUUCUUAUCUAAAAAUAAUUUUAGAAAUCUAAAUCAUCCAUUUAAAAUGAAAUUAUGGCUAAUCAAACUAAAUAAUAAUAUUAAAUAAAAUAUUUUAUUUUCUUAUAAAACAAUAUUUAUAGAAUCCUGUAUAAACAAUUUUUGUAGCGUAAGAGUAAAAUAUAUUCAUAUAUAUAAUAGCACACUAAACCAGGUAUUCAAAAAUAUUCUACAAUGACAUGUGGGCCCAAAAAUAAUCGAAAAUAUACAAGACUGUAGACCUUCGAUUUCUAAGGAUGCAAAUCCAAAAGCAACCCUCGACAAAAUCGGUUGUUUAUAGACUGUUCUGAGCCUGAAAUGGGUAAAAAGAAGGGGUGAGUUUCUAUAAACCUAGUGAGUAAGCAAAGUUCAUCUAGAACAUCUAAAGCCGAGUAAAUGGAGACAGUUAAAUCAUCCCAUCAUGAUAUAAUUCAUAACAUUCCAAAACUCAUUUCAAUUCAUAUAAAACAAUUACAUUUCAUCAAAAUAAUCAACAAGGCUUAUGAUUCUCUUAAAAACUUGGCUUGUGCCAAAACUCAUACUCUAGGACACCUUGGCCCGAGCAUCCCAUCGAGUCCGCCAAGGAUGUUAAAACGACAUACACCCAUAAAACAUGUUUUUACUUUUUAAAAUAUAGCCAUUCUUUGGCGUUGGCUGAGUUUCAUCCUCACGUGGUGGUUCGGCGUGAAGUGAACUCUAAACUUACCUUUGAAGAUACCCUCCGUACCUCUCGUACUAAGGUAAAUAUAAUAGGGUUUACCGUGCCCCUCUAAUAGGCUGGUCCACGGAAACCCGCCCACUGCAGUAAGCUAAAUACAUAACCCACCAAAUUAAUAAAAUUUAAGUAGCAUAACAUGGCUAAUAUAGUACUAUCCAACCUGUCAAUGUAAAACAAAACAAUUUAUAUAAUUCACAAAACCACAAUUUCAGCCAUUCAUGCCACCACAAUUUCAUAAGUCAGCAAUUCAAAUCAUGUAUAUAUAUAAUACGAAUGCAUAGCCUCCACUUACUCUAUUUUGAAAAUCAACAUUUAGUUUCAGAAUAAUUUAUAAAUCUCAUUCAUUUAACCAACAUUUAAAAUGUAAAACAUAAUAAUUUGCAAAUUAAGUGCCUUAUUCUUUAAAAUCUUAAAACAAGUAUAAACCACUUUAGAUAAUUAAGAUGAACAUCUGAUUACUCACUAUAAUGGGAAUUUGGAGUGGUAGGAGUACUCCUAUUCUCAAUCCUCCGGCACGAUAUCUUUGCCCUUAUCGGGGGGUUCAGCACCUAUCCAUAAUACAUGAUACGUAAUUCAAUACAUUGUUGUCAAAUUGUUAUAAAACUAUUUCAGACUCUAUAUGCAUGCAUGAAGUUGAAUGAGAAAUGUUCGGAUAGUCACUUAAAGACGGUGUUCUACGUAGGUUCAAUUGUGAUCGGAAUGAAUUUGUAUUUGACCUAAUUCGAACUAUACACCAUUGAUUUAACCAAAACAUCCAAUUCAACUCCAAAUAUAUUCAUUACACUUCCAAUAAUCUAAUACACCAAAGCAUUACAAUGAACUUUAUUUUUGACUAACUUUACCGUUUUCCAAAAUUCAUUCCGAUUUCGAACUAACACUCUAAUCAAUGUCUACACAGUCUCGUAAAUCCAUAUAUAUCAUUAGGAAUCAAAUCCAAGUCCAUUUACUAUGAUUUUCUCAGUUUCCAUCAAGCCAUUUUCUAAAGGAACUACACUUUUCAAUAACCGGUUUCGAUAUCCAACAUCAUAAUUCAUCAAUUCCUAGCUAAAUAACAUGAAUUACAACCAAAUCCAUCAUCAACAUGCCCUAUAGAAAAUUCAGCCAAAUGAGGGUGGUUGAAGAACAUGUGAUUUUCUUGCUUGUUUUUCCUUCCAAACAUCACCAAAACUUCUCUCUCUAGGUUUGGCCAGCAAAGGUUUCCUCUUGAAAACUUGAAUUUCAGCCAUGGAGAAUGAAAAAGAAUGCAUGGGAAAGGUAGAUCACAAGCUAAAAUAAAAAAAAUCUUACCUUUACUUGCUUGAUUCCUUGAAAUCCAACAAUUUCUCUUGGAUUUUUCCUUCCUAGGGUUUGUUCUUCUCUUUUUCUCUUUGUUCCCUUGCUUGGCCGGCCAUAAGAGUGUGAAUGUGAGGGUUUUAAGUGAGUUUAUAUAGGCAAUUAAAAUAAUAUUAAAGCUUGACACUUGUCACCUUUUAAUUGGUCCAUGUUUAAAAACUUAAUAAUUAAGCAUUUCAUUCCCACCACAUAUAAUCUCUCACUUAAAAAAAUAAUGGGUGAAAUUCAUGGGUUUGACAAGUGUCAUGGUGUAUAAAAUUCCAAAAUUUCCAAUUUCGUCCUCAUGGACACUUAAAAUGAUCGUUUUGCCCUUAUGUUCAGAAAAAUGUCGAAAUUGAAAAUUUUCACUUCUCAAAUUCAAAUAAUGCUCUAAUUAAUCAAAUUUAGUCAAAAUAUCAUCCAAAAUUCCAAUUUUGUCGUUGGGUGCCAAAAUGACCAUUUUGCCCUUACGUUAUGAAAAUUCUCGAAUUAACUCCAAAUUAAUCCUUGAAUUUUGAAUCAUCAUAUUAAGACAUUCUAAGAUUCAAUAACUCUCAAAUACAUCGUAAAAUCUUUAUUUGGCCUAGUUCGAGGCUUUAAUCAACUUAAUUGUACCACUAGGUACAAUACCGACUUUUAAUGAUUUUUCAAUACAUUCACUUUUGCAAACAUUCUAUCAAGCACAUGAAUGACAUGACAAGUAUAUAAUAGAGUAGGGCUUGACAAAAUGUGGUGGACAUAGGAUAGCUAGAGCUAAGUGCACUAGGCUAAGCACUAGAUGGACCACUAUGAUAGGUAAUCGACUAAACCUUGUCUCCCUCAUCACCCUCAUCAUUAGCUAAGACCAGUUCAUCUAUGACUCGUUUUCUAACUUAAGUGCUAUUUUUAAGCUUAAAAUCUAACUUGUUUAAGGUGUGUUCAUCAAUUGGAUUGAACAAGGUAUGGGUAUUAGGUGGAUCAUAUUGUGUAUCAACAUUAAAAUGAUUGAUGAUCUCGCUGACUAGCAUGCUGUAAAGGAGGGUUUUGAUGCCUUUAUUGACAAUGCGUGACAUAUCAUCCAUGAUGAAUUUGGAAAGAUUAAUGAGGUGAUUGUUUUUGAAGUGGUAAAUAAACCAAAAGUCUUCACUCGUGACUAUGAAAUAAUUUAAGCCAUGAAGGCAGAUAGUGUGGGUGAUAAUAAGAUGGGGGACUUGAUCAUAAAAUGAAAACAUUUUACAACUAAAACCCCUUUUUUCAUUUAAAAAAAGAUAGACAAAAAUGGAAUGCAGUGCAACAUCACUAAAAAUAUAUUGCAUAUCACCUUGUUGGACUUUUAGAUGCAAGACUCGAUCUAAGAUCACAAGGGUGACAAGGAUAUGUUUUCCCAUGACAUGAGUGACCAAACUAUCGUCAUGGGUUACUAACUGACCAGUCUCGAAAUUAGGAAAUUUUACGGUGCCAUUGAAAAAAAUAUUCUAACUAAGUUCUCAUAAAAUUUCUUAUUCAGUUGCAGAAAAUGCAUCCAACCUAAUCAUUGUAGGUUGACAAGGUAUGGAAAAUCAAUGGACUCUAAGCAUUGAAAAUCAAUAAUGUGGCAAGGCAUUACCUACCAUUUGCUGAAGUCAACCUUGAAUUUUUGGUCAUGGGAUGGGUGGGUGAAAUUGCACUAAAACGUAUCCCCUGUUGGUUGUGUGGAGGCUUUAGCACCAGUAGAAUCGCAUGAACCCCUCCGAGUAGUCAGCUUUGUGUUUUUUUGUAUGUGGUUCAUUUUGGGAUUUUGGUGAUUUGAGAGUUCUAGGGAUGUUUUCAAGAAACAAAUUGGUAGAAGUGUGUAAGAUUGUAAGGGGAGAAGUUUAAUCAGAAUAAGUUUACCUAAAACUGACGAAAAUCCAAGAAAUUUGAAAAUUUUAAACUUAGGAUUUUAUGGAACCCUAACUCAGAUUUUGGGUAAAUUCGAGGUUAUGUUGGGUAAAAUUUAUUUUUUUAACACUCAAAGUUGUGAUAAGGACACUUUAAAUAGAUUAGAAUUGAAGAAAAUCACAAACAAGUUGAGAGGUUAGGAGGAUAGGGGUUUGGGUGCCGCAUGUUUGGGGAAAAAAUGAACUUCAGAAAUAUUUCAAAUAGUACAUCUAUUGAUAGUUGUAAACAAGUAUUAAUAGAUGGAACUUGAACCAUUUUAUUGUUGGCCACAAGUAUCUAUCUAUUGAUAGACAGUUUUAAUUUAUCGAUAAAUUAUGCACACAAAUUUUAUAUUUGGUCUCAAGUUCUUAUAUAUUGAUAGAUAAGAGUGAUCUCUUGAUAGAUAGUGCAUGGGAGUGUUAAUGUUGGCCUCUAGUUGCUAUCUAUCGAUAAUUAUUUGGUAAUUAUAGAUAGAUGUUCUUGUGUGGCUUUGAAAAAUCUGAUUUUUGACUUCUAAAAUCAUGUGAGAAGGUUUAGAAAUGAAUUUGAUUGAAAAUAAGCUCAUAAUUUGUGCAAAAACACUUGAAACAUCAUUUUGGACUAAGGUAAGUGUAGUUUUUGGAUCAAAGACCUUGAUUUGUUGCAAAAAUUCUCUUUUCCACAUUGUUUAAAGUAUCCUUUGAGUUGGAUUGCCAUGCACAUGUACGGUAUCAUGAAUAUAUGAGUGUUAUGUAGUUCAAUUUUACAGAAUAAAUCAAUUUUGCUUAGGUAAUCAAUCAUUUUUAACAUUCAACAUCAUCAUCCUUUGCAAUCCACCAAUGUAUCUCACUAUCUCAAAACAUUUGCAGCAAGAAUUAUCAUAAAUGACUAAUUUGACACAUCUUUCAUCUAAGGUGGAUUUAUAUGACCUAGUUCACUUCUUAAUUUGAAAAAUUCUUCUCUUUCGAGCGGUUUAGUGAAAAGGUUUGCUAGUUGGUCAUUUGUACCUACAUAUUCAAGAACAAUAUCUUCCUUUUGAACAUGGUCUUUAAUGUAAUGAGGCCUUAUUUCUUCGUGUUUAGUUCUAGAGUGAUGGAUGGGAUUUUUUGUGAGAUUUAUGGCACUAGUAAUGUCACAUUUAAUGGGAAUUCUUUCCAUACCUAGUCCAUAAUCUUUUAUUUGUUGCUUAAUCCAUAACACUUGAGCACAACAACUUUCGACAACCACAUAUUUAGCUUCUGUAGUGGGUUGAGCUAUAUUAUUUUGUUUCUUAAAACCAUGAGAUCAACAUGCUACCUAGAAAUUGACAUGUGUUGGAUGUGCUCUCUCUAUCUAUUUUGCAUCCACUAAAGUCAACAUCCAAGUAUGAGUGAAGAUCAAAGGUAAAACUCCUUAGAUAUCAUAUUCUUAAAUUGGAUGUGUCUUUUUAAGUAUAUAAAAUUUCUUUUGAUAGCACUUAAGUGAGGUUUUGUAGGUGAUGAUCGAAACCUAGCACAUAAUCCUACACUAACGCUUAUGUUUGGUCUAUUAGCGGUUAGAUAGAGUAAGGAACCAAUCAUAGAUCUACAAAGCUUUCGAUCAACAACCGUACCUUUUUCAUCUUGGUCAAGCAUUGUUGAGGUGCUCAUGGGAGUGUGGUAAGUUCUUGUGCUUUUCAUUCAAAACUUCUUAAGCAUGUUUUUUGUGUACUUGGCUUGACUUAUAAAUGUACCAUUUUUCUUUUUUGUUAUUUGAAGUCCAAGGAAGUAAUUUAGCUCACUCAUCAUGCUCAUCUCAAAUUCUCCUUGCAUAGUUAUAGCAAACUCUUCACCAAGUAGCUCAUUACCAAAAAUUAACACAUCAACAUAAACUUGCACAAUUAAAAUGUCUUUACCUUUGCUUUUAAUGAAAAGAGUUUUAUCAACGUUCCCUCUAUUAAAAUCAUUUUUGAUUAAAAUUUUUGAUAAAGUCUCAUACUGUCACGACCUGGUACUCUCCUCGAGCCCGCAACAACCGCCGCGAUGUCCCGAUAGACAUUCAUUACCCUAAAUGCCAGCCGAAACCUUGCAAGGCUUAAUAUCAGUUUUCGCACCUCCCUUGUGAGCAAUAAUUACUAAAUACCAUAUUUUAAAAGAUUAUAAGCUAUUUCCAAAUCAAAACAAUAAUAAAAAAUAUUUUAUGUCUCACAAAGGUAUUUUGGUCAUUUUUUCCAAAAAUUUUGAAACCUACUGAAAAUAUAAUAUAUAGGGGAAAAUACACAUUUCAUAACUAAAAACAAGUUUUUAUGUCUAAAACAUUCAUUUAUGGUGAAAUUGUAGCUAAUAGAAUAAAAUAAAAAUAUUAAAUGAAAUAUUCCAUUUUCUUAUAAAACAAUAUUUAUAGAACUCUGCAUAAAUAAUUUUUGUAGCGUAAAAGCAAAAUAAAUCCAUACAUACAGUAACGCAGAUAGCCAGAGUAUGUAAUUUAAUUUACAAUGACGUGUGGGCCCCCGAAUGACCAAAGGUAACAAAGGCUGUGGACCUACAAUUUCUAAGGAGGCGAGUCCAAUAAUAACCCUCGACGUAAUCAGCUAUUUACGAACUGUCUAGAUCCUGGAAUGAGUGGAAAAGAGGGUGGUGAGUUUAUAUAAACUUAGUGAGUAAACAAACAUCAUCUAAAAUAUCUAAAGUCGAGUAAAUGGAGACAACUUAAAACAGUUCAUCGUAUUAUGAUUCAUAACGUUUCAAACUCAUUUCAACUAAAUAAAAUAAUUUCAUUUCACUCAAAUAAUCAACAUGGCUUAUGAAUUUCUUAAACAUUUGGCUCGUGCCAAAACUCAUUCUCGGGGAUACCUUGGCCUGGGCCUCCAACCGAGUUCACCAAGGCUGUUAAAAAAAAGUUCAUAUACGCAUAAAACACAUUUUUACGUUUAAAAGCAUCGCCGUUUCUUGGCGUUGGCUGAGUUCACCCUCACGUGGUGGUUUAGCGUGUAGUGAACUCUAAAACUUUACCUCAAGAGAUACCCUUCAUUCCUUUCAUAUCGAGGUAAAAUAUAACCAAGUUUACCGUGCCCCUUUCUAAUAGGCUGGUCCAUGGAAAUCCGCCACUGCAGUGACUAAUCAAUAUCCCACCAAAUCAAUAAAAGUUUCGACCGCAUGACAUGAUAAUUAUAUUACUACCCACCCUGUUAAGGCAAAACAAAUAGUUCAUACAAUUUCAACACAAUUUCCAAUUCAGCCAUUCAUGCUAAUAUCACCAUAAGCCAUUCAAUUCAAACCAUAAAUUUACAACACAAACAAACAGUCUCUAAUUACUCAAUUUCUAAAGUCAUCAUUCAAUUUCAAACUGAUUUAUAAACUCAUUUCAUUUAAUCACAUUUUACUUAUAAAACAUAAGGAUUUACCAUUUAAACUAAUUUUUCUAUAAAAUCACAAAAACGAAUAAAAACUACUUUAGAUAAUUAAGACGAUAAUAAGGUUACUCACAAUAUCGGGGAGUCGAAGUACUCUUAGUCCCGAUCUUCGGGUACAAUCUCCUUACCCUUAUCGGAAGUUUCACCACCUAAACAUAAUGCACAACAAGCAAUUUACUAUAUUUGUAUUAAACCGUUAUAAAACUAAUUUAGGCUCCAUAUGAAUGCAUGAAAUGGGAUGCAAAAUAUUCAGAUUAUUAUCUAAAUAUGGUGUUCUACGUAGCUUCAAUUAUGUAUCGAAAUAAAAUGGUAUUAGCCUAAUUAGAUCUAUACAUCGGUUAAUUGGCCAAUACAUCCAAUUCAACUCCAAUUAACUUGAUUCCACUUCCAACACUCCAAGUCAUCAAUUACAAGUUAAAUAAUAUAUAAUAUAACAAAAAUCCAUCAUCAAUAUCUUCCUUGUAAAAUUCGGCCAUUGAAGGUUUAGUGUAGAACAUGUAAUUUUCAUGCUUGAUUUUUACACCUUACAUCAUAAACAACUAAAAACACCUAAAUAGCAUGAAAUUCAUCAAAGUCCAUUAUCCAAUUUCUCUCUUGAAAAUUUCAGCCAAGGAUUGUGGGUGAAGGGCAUGAAAUUUCUUACUUGUUUUUCAUGCUAAACAUCACCAAACAACCAAAAACACAAAGAUACCUUGAAAUCUAACCAAAUAAAUCAUCAAAUCUUCUCUCCCUAAAUUCGGUCAGCCAUGAAUCCUUCAUGAGAUCUUGAAUUUUAACCAUGGUAAUUGAAAAAGAAUGNNNNNNNNNNNNNNNNNNNNNNNNNNNNNNNNNNNNNNNNNNNNNNNNNNNNNNNNNNNNNNNNNNNNNNNNNNNNNNNNNNNNNNNNNNNNNNNNNNNNNNNNNNNNNNNNNNNNNNNNNNNNNNNNNNNNNNNNNNNNNNNNNNNNNNNNNNNNNNNNNNNNNNNNNNNNNNNNNNNNNNNNNNNNNNNNNNNNNNNNNNNNNNNNNNNNNNNNNNNNNNNNNNNNNNNNNNNNNNNNNNNNNNNNNNNNNNNNNNNNNNNNNNNNNNNNNNNNNNNNNNNNNNNNNNNNNNNNNNNNNNNNNNNNNNNNNNNNNNNNNNNNNNNNNNNNNNNNNNNNNNNNNNNNNNNNNNNNNNNNNNNNNNNNNNNNNNNNNNNNNNNNNNNNNNNNNNNNNNNNNNNNNNNNNNNNNNNNNNNNNNNNNNNNNNNNNNNNNNNNNNNNNNNNNNNNNNNNNNNNNNNNNNNNNNNNNNNNNNNNNNNNNNNNNNNNNNNNNNNNNNNNNNNNNNNNNNNNNNNNNNNNNNNNNNNNNNNNNNNNNNNNNNNNNNNNNNNNNNNNNNNNNNNNNNNNNNNNNNNNNNNNNNNNNNNNNNNNNNNNNNNNNNNNNNNNNNNNNNNNNNNNNNNNNNNNNNNNNNNNNNNNNNNNNNNNNNNNNNNNNNNNNNNNNNNNNNNNNNNNNNNNNNNNNNNNNNNNNNNNNNNNNNNNNNNNNNNNNNNNNNNNNNNNNNNNNNNNNNNNNNNNNNNNNNNNNNNNNNNNNNNNNNNNNNNNNNNNNNNNNNNNNNNNNNNNNNNNNNNNNNNNNNNNNNNNNNNNNNNNNNNNNNNNNNNNNNNNNNNNNNNNNNNNNNNNNNNNNNNNNNNNNNNNNNNNNNNNNNNNNNNNNNNNNNNNNNNNNNNNNNNNNNNNNNNNNNNNNNNNNNNNNNNNNNNNNNNNNNNNNNNNNNNNNNNNNNNNNNNNNNNNNNNNNNNNNNNNNNNNNNNNNNNNNNNNNNNNNNNNNNNNNNNNNNNNNNNNNNNNNNNNNNNNNNNNNNNNNNNNNNNNNNNNNNNNNNNNNNNNNNNNNNNNNNNNNNNNNNNNNNNNNNNNNNNNNNNNNNNNNNNNNNNNNNNNNNNNNNNNNNNNNNNNNNNNNNNNNNNNNNNNNNNNNNNNNNNNNNNNNNNNNNNNNNNNNNNNNNNNNNNNNNNNNNNNNNNNNNNNNNNNNNNNNNNNNNNNNNNNNNNNNNNNNNNNNNNNNNNNNNNNNNNNNNNNNNNNNNNNNNNNNNNNNNNNNNNNNNNNNNNNNNNNNNNNNNNNNNNNNNNNNNNNNNNNNNNNNNNNNNNNNNNNNNNNNNNNNNNNNNNNNNNNNNNNNNNNNNNNNNNNNNNNNNNNNNNNNNNNNNNNNNNNNNNNNNNNNNNNNNNNNNNNNNNNNNNNNNNNNNNNNNNNNNNNNNNNNNNNNNNNNNNNNNNNNNNNNNNNNNNNNNNNNNNNNNNNNNNNNNNNNNNNNNNNNNNNNNNNNNNNNNNNNNNNNNAUUUACAGUGACACAUGGGCCCACGAACGACCAAAAGUAUCAAAAGAGGUAAACCUACAGUUUUUGAGGAUGCAAGUCCAAUUGUAGCCCUCAAUGAAAUGAGCUAUCUACUGACUAUCCUGAGCCUGAAAUGGGUGGAAAUGAGGGUGGUGAGAUUAUAUAAUCCUAGUGAGUAAACAAAUACCAUCUAAAAUAUCUAAAGUUGAGUAAAUGGAGAUAGAUAAAACAGUUUAACAUACUGUAAUUCAUCACCUUUCAACUCAUUUCAACCAAAUAAAAUCAAUUCAUAUAAAUCGAGUAAUCAACAUGGCUUAUGAAUUUCUUAAAACUUUGGCUUGUGCCAAAAUCAUUCUCAUACUCAAUUAUCAAGGAUACCUUGGCCGAGGGCUAUCCCAACAGAGACCGCAAAGGCUAUUAAAAAGUUAUGUAAGCAUAAAUCAUGUUUUUAUUUUGAAAGCCUAGCCGUUUCUUGGUGUUGGCUAAGUUCACCCUCACGUGGUGGUUUGGCGUGAAGUGAACUCUAAAGUUUUAACCUCAGGAGUUAUCCAACCGUGCCUCUCAUACUGAGGUAUGAAUAUAAUAGGGUUACCGUGCCCUUCUAAUAGGCUGGUCCACGGAACCCGGUCCACUGCAGCGACCAAUAUAUAACCCACCAAUUUAAUAAAAUUCAAUAGCAUGACAUGGCAAUUAUUUUAUUUUACAGCCUCUCAAGGCAAAUUAACAGUUCAUAAAUUUUCAACACAAAUACUAAUUUAGCCAUUAAUGCAAUUAUUAUCAUAAGCCAUUCAAUUCAAACUAUGAUUUAUAACAUAGCAAUUAGUCUCCAAUUACUCCAUUUUCAAAAGCAUCUUUUAAUUUCAAGACAAUUUUAUAAAAUCAUUUUCAUUUAAUCACAUUUUACUUAUAAAACAUAAAGAUUUACCAUUUAAACUCAUUUUCCAUAAAAUCACAAAAUCGGAUAAAAACCACUUUAGAUAAUUAAGAUGAUAGUAAGGUUACUCACUAUUUCGGGAGUUGAAUUUCGAGUACUCUGAUUCUUAAUCCUCGGGUACUAUCUCUUUACUUUUGCCAGAAUGCUCAGCACCUAGACAUAAUGCACAAUAAGCUAUUUACUACAUUUGUGCUAAAUUGUUAUAAAACCAAUUCAGGCUCUAUACUAAUACAUGAAAUAAAAUGUAAAUUGUUCAGAUUAUUAUCUAAACACGGUGUUUUACACAAAUUCAAUUAUGUACCUAAAUAAAAUAGUAUUGGCCUAAUUUGAUCUAUCACCCGAUUACUUGGCCAAUAUGUCCAAUUUAACUCCAAAUAAUUCCAUUUUUCUUCCAAUUCUCCAAACCAUCAAACACAAGUCAAAUAGCAUAAAAUUUAGCAAAAUCAUCUUCACAUUUUCUUUUGGGAAUUUCGGCCAUGGUGGGUGCAUCAACAUUAUAAUUUUUCAAGCUUGAUUCUCACACCAUAAAUCACUAAUUCCUAACCAAAUCACUUGAAAUAAAAUCAAAAUCAUCAUCAAUAUUCCACUUGAAUUCAGCCAUUGAUUGGUUAUAGGAGAAAAUGAAUUUUUCUUGUUGGCUUUUCAUGCUACACAACACUAACUAACUAAAAACACUAAAAUACAUUGAAAUCUAACCAAAUCAAGCAUCAAAACUCCUCCCCCGAUGUUCGGCCAGCAAGGUAUCCUCAUGCAAACUUGAUUCUCAACCAUGGAAAACGAAAAAGAAUGCAUAGGAAAGGUAGAUCACAAGCUAGAAUUGAAAAAUCUUACCUUUUGUCACUUGUUUCCUUGGAUUUUCACACUUUUCCCUUGAAUUUUUCCACCUAGGGUUUUUUUGUUCUUCUUUUCUUCCUUUGUUCUUCCUUUGGCCGGCCAUAUGAAGAGAAAUAGGCUGAUUUUGUGCUAAUUUAUAAGGAAAAUAAUAAAUGGAUUAGAAUUUGACACAUGUCACCAUUCCAUUAGUCCAUGUGUCAUACUUAGUCAUUAAGCAAUCUCUCUCCACCACUUAAAUUUUCUCAAUUAUCCAUGAUAAUAUUGGGUAAAAUCCAUGUGCUGGACAAGUGUUGGGUGGUGUAAAAUUAUAAUUUUGCCCUUGGGGUGGCAAAAUGACUAUUUUACCCCUAUGGUCAAAAAAAUGUUGAAAUUAAAAUUUUUCACUUCUCAAACUCAAAUUAUGUUCUAAAUAGUCAAUCUUGAUCAAAAACUUCUUCCAACAUUCCAAUUUUAACCUCAGGUGGCAAAAUGACUAUUUUGCCCCUAAAUCAUGAAAAUUCCAAUUUGACUCUAAAUCGGUCCUCGAACUCCAAAUCACCAUUUUAAGUCAUUCUAGGAUUUUAAAAUUCUCAAUUUCAUCUUAAAAUCUCUAUUUGGUCUAGUUCGAGGCUUAAAUCAACUUAGUUAUACCAUUUGGUACAUUGUCGUCCUUUAACGAUUUUCGAGGUACCCAAGUAAGCAAACAUGCAUUCUUAUGCAAGAAUGGCAUAAUAAACAUAUUGUAGAGCCGGGCUUGAUAAUUUUCAUCCAUUUUGUUUUUAAAAACCCAUUUAGUACCUACAAUUGAAUAGUUAUUCAAUCUAGGAACUAACUUUGUUUGUAGUUUAAGCUCAAUGCAAUAUAUACCAAGAAGGGGGUGAAUUGGUAUUUUAGAAAAUUCUUUGAAAACCAAGUGUAAAAAAAAAAAAUCUUUUGCAGCCAAAAAUUUCUUCUUGUGUCUAAAACUAAGUGUAUGAUUUUUCUAAAACAAGUAUGCAACAAUAAAUCACAAAGCAUGAAAGUAAAUUGAGACACUUUUAUAGUGGUUCGACAUUCUCUAGUGCCUACAUCCACUCCAUUGGAAACCAAGGAUUUUCAAAUUGACUCAAGGAGUAAUGCUUUUUAUGGGAUCAAGCAUUAAACACUCAAGAAUACCUAUAAAAAGGCUGGGUGCUAAAAGUUUAAGAUUUGUGUACAAAGAGAAGAAAUAAUUUGAAGAAUUUCAACUCAAGGAUUUUCAAGUGAUUGCGUGAGGUUUUAUGGCUUUUGAAUGCUUGUUGGAAGACUAAGAUAAAAGGCUAGAGAUAAAAGAUAAUCUUGAGGGUCUUUCUGGGGUUUUCAAAUGAAGUGUUGAUCUUCUUUUACUUUAAAAUGACUCAAAGGUGGCCUUUUAUAGUUACAAGGAUGUUUAGAGCCAUUAGACACAAGUUUGAAUUAAAUCUGGCCAUUGCUAAAACUUGAGCGUCAACUAAAAUGCUCCUAGGGUCAAUUAUGUUCUUCAAAAAUAUCAAAUUAGGGUUCUAUAGUUGAGUAUAAGCUUCCUUUACUCGAUCUAAUACUUGAAAGCUUACAUUUUUCAGAUUUUGGCUGAGGUAGUCUACUACAGUAUCUUGAGGGUUGACUACGUUAGGAACGACAUGAUUAGAGCAUCAACAUAAUGGAAUAACCAAAAUUGAAACAAAAUAAAAACCAUACCUUCUUCCUUUGGAUCACCUUAGUUGUUUAAUGCAAAGUUAAACACCAUAGAAAAUUAGAAAAUGGUUUUUACUCUUCUAAAUGAUAUCAUAAUCAAAUGGAUUCCUUUUGGAGUUGGAAAAUGUUAACACCUUCUUAUGUGAAAAAAUCCUAGCCAUUCAAAUGCUUAGCCUCUAAUGUUACAGACAUGAUUACAAUAAAUCCUUCUUAAGGAGAGAGCUUUAUGCCACGGGGUUGUGCUAAUAAGUGGAAAACGAUUUGUCCUCUUUUCUUCUUUGAUUUCUAGCAAAGAAUCAAUGGAGAAGUUAUCUGAAAAAACCCUCUCAAGAGUGGCAGUACAUAAGAGGAAAACUAUUAGUUUUUUUUUUCUUUUGUUGCUUUAGAAAAGAGUGGCUAUAAUGUGAUAUUUAUAUCUAGGUUUAAUUUUAUUAUUAGACUUAUUAAAAUUUGCAUAAUAAGUCCUUAAUGUUAUCACAAUUAUAAUAUUUAACUAAUGCCUAAUUAAACUAUUUUAAUAAGGUCUUUAGUAGUUAAAACUAGAAUUGAUCUAAGUCUAACUUAAAUCUUCAAACUCUCAAUUUAAUUCAAAUUGCAACCUUUGUGUGUAACUUGUUAGGUUCCCAACAGUUGGCAAUAGAAUUGAAUUAUAAUUUUAUUAAUUAAUUAAAUUAAACGAAUCAUAUUUAAUUUUAAAUUAACUAAUUCAAUUCCGUAGACCAAGAUUGGCAUCUAACAAUGCAUCAUGGCCACCCAAAUAUUAAAAGAGUUAAAGGAUUCUUUGACAACCUUUCGGUGUACAGUUUAUUAGUGUAAUUCAUUCCUAUUAGGAAUUUUGAGAAUAUGGUGCACUGGAAAGCAAGUAUAUUCUCAUGUUUAAUUUCAUUUAAUUUAUUUUGCAAUGAAAGUACAUUUUGAUAAUAAGGGGAAGAGUUUGUUUUAAGUAAGCAUUCAUUAUCUAGUUAUUAAGGUACCAUGAUUCUAUUGAUAUAUUAAAAUACAUUUGCAUGAAGAGUCAUAUAUAAGAGACAUGUAUUUCAAUUAAAUCUAAAAAUUGUUCACAACCAUAUGAUAAAGUUGGUCACUUUAUUGUGUUAAGGCUAUAGUGUCUAGAUUACUUCCAAUGAAACGAAUGUGAUUCAUUUCAAGGGAAUGAUGAGUUUUAAAUCAUCGAAAUGGUUGACUUCAAGUAAUGACACUAUAACAUGAAUUGGAAUCAUGUGAGAAACAAAUUUAAGUUUAACCAAUACUUAAAUCUUGAUCUCACACUUAUGCAUUUGUUUAUUGUAGAACCAAAAUCCUGAUAGAUAGUGGACUCAUGUUUAAUCUCCUUAUAAUCAUUGAUAUACCACGAGCAUGAUCAUCAUAAAGCAUUGAUCUAGACUCUGUAUGUUGGGAUUAUAAUCGAUAUGAAUAUCUAAGAAUACAUAUUCAAGUAAUUUCAAGAAGAUUGGUGAUUAAUCUGGAGCCAGUGAAUUGAUGAAUUAGCUACUUAUCACAUUUGGAUACUGAAAAGAUUAGAUCUAGAGUAUUGAAUCACUAAUUGGAUUAAAUUUGAGAAUAGGGGACAAAAUUGACAUAAAAGUAAAACAGUAAUUUCACUUGUCAUUGGAUGGUUAUGAGGGUUCACAAUAUCAGGUUUGCAACUGGACAACUACUAAUUAAUAUCAAGUAUUGAAUCAUUUCUUAUAAUUAUAGUUAAUCCAAGAGUGCAAUAAUAAAUCUAUGGUGGAGUGAUUUCAUGGCUAAUAAGCUUGAAUUGUCUUAAUAAGAUUAAGAAUAAUUCUAAAUUUAUUGGACCUCGAAAUAUCUUUGUCCAAAUAGAUUUCCCACUUAGCUUCAUAGAAUUCAACUUAUUUAAGUUGGAAUGCAUGUUUUAUUUCAUUAAUUAAAUUGUGUACAAAAAUGGUAGCUUUAAUUUGUUUUGUCUUAAUUCAGACAAAAAAACAUAUUUGUCUUAAUUUAGACAAGAAAACAUGUUAUGUCUUAAUUUAGACAAGAAAAAAUGUUAUGCCAUAAUUUAGCCAAGAAAACAUGUUUGUCUUAACUUAGACAAGAAAACAUGUUUUGUCUUAACUUAGACAAGAAAAAUAUGUUUUGUCUUAAUCUAGAAAAGAAAACAUAUUUGUCUCAGUUUAAACAAGAUAACAUGUUAUAUUUUAAUUAAAGACAAGAGUUGUCUUAAAUUAAGAUAAUGCUAGGAGGAUUCUUGCAAAAUGAAUCUAGACAUCCAUGUUGAUAAAUCGAAACUCCAUGUUUGAGUAUCAUUCUUUUAUUUAUUAUUAAUUCUUUUUAAAUAAAGAUGGAUAAUAAUAAAAUAAAAGUUAUCAUUCAACAAGGAGUUUUAUUUUAUCAAGAACUCUAAAAGAUAAAUAAAGAAUUAAAUUAUUUCUUCUUUAAUUUUAAUAUUGAUAAUUAUAGAGCAUGUUUGAUGUAUCCAUAACUCUAAAUGGAUGGCACUCAGUGCUUACAAUAUCCGAAAUACAUUAUUUUCCUAAACUUUAAAAUUUCAAAAGCAAAAGCUAGUGUGGACUGAACUCAGGGAAGUGACCAAAAUGGGGGACCUAUUGGAUGCCAAAAAUUAGUCUAUCAAUGGACAACCUUGCCACACAUUGUCUAGUGACCUAUUUAUUUGCACAUGGUACAAAAAUAGGUGAGCAAUAUAAUAAUCAGUGAGUGAUGCACAUAAUCAAAAUUAUAUACAUAUAUUAAACACAUAAUGAACAUUGCACUUUCAAUGCAUCUACAUGGUCUAGCAAACAUCUCUAAAUAUAGGGCAUAUCAUUAUCCCUAAGUCUCUAAUAUACAAGCAUAUCAUCAUCCCUAAGAUCUCCGAAGAUCAUCACUCACAUCAUUAGACUUACCCCUCGAAGUUAAUCAUAGUCAGUCACUUCAUUCUCCAUGGCACACUUUAGUCAUAGGAGUAUUAUAUCGAUUCAUAUCAUGUUUAUCUAAGCCUCUCUCAAAUUAUCUCACAUUGUAUACCAAUCAAAUCACCAAGUGGUCCUCCCUUGUACAUAGUUAAAUCAUGCAUAGUGGCUAGCUAGCGAAAACACAAAUCACACACAAGGCAAAGUCAUUGAUGGAGCACAAGUCACACGCGUGCCGAAGCAAAGGGCAAAGAAUCAAAUCACGUUCAGCGUCGAAGUAGCUAGCAGAGAAUCAUAUCAUCAACUAGAGUAAUCUCUCAAUAGUUGACAUUACCCGAAGUAAUCUCCCAUCGAUGGGAUUGCUUGGAGUAAUCUUUUGACAAGCUUCAUCUUGGCACUACAGGCGAGAAUCACAAGCGAGACUAGUCCUUUAUUCUCUGCUUACCACCAUCCUUGCAUGCACACACACACACAAACUCAUAGGUUAACAGGAACCACUCAACCUCAAGUCAAAUCAACGUACAGAAUUCAUCCCUUGGACUGACCAUAAAUCCACAAUGAGACCACCAUAUCUCUAUCUUUCCAUAUGUCCAUAACAUAUCAUAAAUCACAUUUAUUGAGCUUCAAUCGUCUAUAAGCUCGUUUGAAUUGUAAGUGCUUUAAUGAUUCAUAAAUCAAAAUGUCAUAUAACUUAUUUGGCCUCAUUAUCCUCACAUACAUAAACAAUUCACAUCAAAUAUCAGAAUACAUAGCCUCACAUGCUCAAGCAAUUAUGCCUCAAUAAUCAUAGCUUAAUGGCCACAAAUGCAUCAACAAUCUCAUUUUAAAUCAGUCAUUGCCGAAUAGCCACAUAUACAUGAGCAAUCUCUCAUCAAAUCAUUCAUUAAUAUUUCAUUGACAAUUAGGUAAUCUAUCCCUACGUCAUGGUGUGACCAUCAUAUUAACUUAGUCAUAGCAUAUCCAUAAGCCAUUAAGAUCAUACAUCACCUAGAUGUCUAAUAGCUCAUGCUUCUCCAUAGUAAUUAGAAACAAACACAUAUGUUAACAUCUAUUAACAUACUAGCCUAGGCAUACUUAUCUAGGCAUGAACAUAACAACGUAGUACCAUGGCAGUUCAUAUUAUCAUGCGUAAUCCAUCACAUGCAUUGUCAGAGGAUUCAAUCCUUAGCCUCUAACCAUCCGCUAACUCACAAACGUGUCCAAUUUGCUCAAUCUUCCUUUAAGCACAUUAAAACAUCAUAAAAGUAAUUAAAUUUGGACUUUCGAAAAAUGUUAGCUUUUUAAAAAUAACCAAAUCUUUAAAGAUCCAACACAUAACCUCAAAUCCUUCAAUAAUGAGCUAAACCCAUACCUUAGGGGCUGGAUUGUACAAUUCCUAUCUCCAAAUUCCCUAGCAAACUCAAGGGAAAAAUCUUACUAAAGCUAAUCCAAAUCAAAUCUAAGUUAUUAACUGAUUAAAUUGAAAGUCAAUUGGUAAAAACGCUUAAUCUUACCUUUAGAAGCGUUUCCCAAGCUCCAAUCCACCUUAAAUAGCUUUAAAAAUUAUUUUACGAGGUUAGGGUUUUGGGUUUUAGAGAGAGAAAAUAAAAAUCAUAAAUCAACCUUUUGGAAAUUGGAAUCCUUACCUCCAACACUUAGAAUCCCAAACUUGUUGAUGGAGUUUGGUGUGUUUGAAGGAUAUGAAAUUUGAGAGAAAAAGGUGGAAGAACAAAAUUGAAGGAGAAAAAUGAAGAAAAAUUGAGUUUUAGGGCUUUUAAGCCCAUUUUUAACUAACUAGGCAGUUUAGGAUCAACUAUGGUGGAUUUGUAGUCAAUCUUGGGCCAGUAGAUUGCACCUAUUUUGUCAAGCCUGACUCUACAAUAUGUUUAUUAUGUCAUUCUUACAUAAGAAUGCAUGUUUGCUUACUUGGGUUCCUUGGAAAUCGUUGAAGGACGGUAUUGUACCAAACGGUACAAUUAAGUUGAAUUAAGCCUCAAACUAGUUUGAAUAGAGAUUUUAAGAUGAAAUUGAGAAUUUUAAAACCCCAUAAUAACUUAAAAUGAUGAUUCGGAGUUCGAGGAUCGAUUUGGAGUUAAAUUAGAAUUUUCAUGACCUAGGGGCAAAACGGUUAUUUUGCCACCCGAGGUUAAAAAUUGGAAUGUUGGAAGCAGUUUUUGAUCAAGAUUGACUAUUUAGAAUAUAAUUUGAGUUUGAAAAGUGAAGAAUUUUAAUUCCAGCAUUUUUUCGAGCAUAGGGGUAAAAUAGUAAUUUUGCCACCCUAUGGGCAAAAUUGUAAUUUUACACCACCCAACACUUGUCCAGCACAUGGAUUUUAUCCAAUAUUAUCAUGGAUAAUUGAGGAAAUUUAAGUGGUGGAGAGAGAUUGCUUAAUGGUUAAGUAUGACACAUGGACCAAUGGAAUGGUGACAUGCGUCAAAAUCUCAUCCAUUCAUUAUUUUCCUCAUAAAUUAGCACAAAAUCAGCCCAUUUCUCAUUCAUAUGGCCGGCCAAAGAAAAACAAAGGAAGAAAAGAAAGAACAAGAACCCUAGGUGGAGAAUUUCAAGAGAAAAAGUGUGGAAAAUCAAGGAAAACAAGUGAAAAAUGUAGGAUUUCUUAAUUUAAACUUGAAAUCUAUUUUCCUUAAGCAUUUCUCCUUAUUUUCCAUGGUUAAAUUUCAUGUUUUCAUGGCGAAUUCAUGGCUAGCCGAAUGGGUAUGGAGAGAGAAUGAUGUUGGAUUGAUUUGAUUUCAAGUUAUGUUAGUGUUUUUAGUUAGUUUACCAUGUCUAAAAGCAAAACAACAAGAAAAGAAUUUAUUUUUUCCAUCACCCAUCAAUGGCCGAACCUACAUUGUAUUGAGUGAGGAUGAAUUUGAUUUUUUUAUUUUAAGAGAAUUGGUUAGAAAAUGAUGAAUUAUGGUGUGGAAAAGUAGUAGGAAAAAUCACGGUGUUAAUGCACCUUUAUUGACCAAAAAUUCUAAGAAGAAUAGUGAAGAUGGUUUUGCCAAAUUUUAGGUUAUUUGACUUGUGUUUGGUGAAUUAAGGUAUUGGAAAAGAAAUGGAGCAAUUUGAAGCUAAAUUGGAUGCGUUGUCCAAUUAAUCGGGUGAUAAGACGAAUUAGGCCAAUAUCGGGUUUAGAUGGUUACCCGUACAUUUUACAUUCCAUAUCAUGCAUUAGUAGUCUAAAUUAGUUUAAUUUCGAUUUAGUACCAAUGUAGUAAGUUUCUCGAUUUUGUACUAUGUCAAGGUGGUGAGUCCUCCGAUAAAGGCAAGGAAAUUGCAUCCGAGGACCAUAGUUAGAAUACUUCAAAAAUCUGCACUUUAGACAUUGUGAGUAACCUUACUAUCGUCUUAAUUAUCUAAAGUGGUUUUUAUCCGAUUUGUGAUUUUAUGGAAAAUGAGUUAAAUGAUAAAUCUUUAUGUUUUGUAAUUAAAAUGUGAUUUAAUGAAAUGAUUUUAUAACAUUGUCUUGAAAUGAAAUGAAGGUUUGAAAAUAGAGUAAUUGGAGACUGUUUUCAUGUGUUGUAAAUUCAUGGUUUGAAUCAAAUGGCUAAUGACAAUAUUUGCAUGAAUGGUUGAAUUUGUAUUUGUGUUUAAAUAUAUGAACUAUGUAUUUAGCCUUGAAAGGCUAUGAAUUACAAUAAUUGCCAUAUCAUGUUGUUGGAAUUUUAUUGAUAAUUAUUAGCUUACUGUAGUGGGCCGGUUCCGUGGGCCAGCCUAUUAGAGGGGCAUGGUAACCCCGUUAUAUUCUUACCUUAGUAUGAGAGGUGCGGGUGGAUAACUCCUGAGGUUAACACUUUAGAGUUCACUUCACGCUAAACCACCACGUGAGGGUGAACUCAGCCAAUGCCAAGAACGGCUAUGUUUUCAAAAUAAAAACAUGAUUUAUGCGUACAUAACUUUUUAAAAGUCUUGGCAGACUCAAUUGGGAUAGCCCUCAAUCAAGGCAUCCCUGAUAACUACGUAUGAGAAUGAUUUUGGCACGAGCCAAAGUUUUAAGAAAUUCAUAAGCCAUGUUGAUUACUUGAUUUAUAUGAAUUGAUUUUAUUUGGUUGAAACAAGUUGAAAGGUGAUGAAUUUCAGUAUGUUAAACUGUUUUAUCUGUCUCCAUUGACUCAACUUUAGAUAUUUUAGAUGGUAAUUGUUUAUUCACUGGGAUUAUAUAAUCUCACCACCCUCAUUUCCACCCAUUUCAGGCUCAGGAUAGUCGGUCGAUAGCUCACUUUGUUGAGGGCUACAGUUGGACUUGCAUCCUAAAAAAUUGUAGGUUUACUGCUUUUAAUACUUUUGGUCGUUCGUGGGCCCACUUGUUACUAUAAAUUAAAUUAAAUACUCUGGCUUACUGUAUUACGAUAUAUAUGAGUUUAUUUUGCUUUUAUACUAUAAAAAUUAUUUAUCCAGUGUUCUAAAAAAUAUUAUUUUAUGAGAAAAUUAAAUAUUUUAUUUUAAUAAUCAUAAUUUCAUUUUAAAUGAAGAUUUUAGAUGUUUAAACUUAUUUUUGAUUAUGAAUUAUGUGUUUUGUACACGCAUACUACAUUUUUAGCAAAUUUUGAGAUUUUUAAAGUAAAUGACCAAAAUGCCCUUGUAAGAAAAAAAAUAUUUUUUUAUUGUUUUGAUUUGGAAAAUAUUUAUCAUCUCUCAAAACAUAAUUUUAGUGAAUAAUAUUCACAGGGGAAGCGAGAAAAACUGAUGUUAAGCCUUGUGAGGUUUCGAUUGACAUUCUAGGUAAUGAAUGUCUAUUGGGACGUCGAGGCGGUUGUCAUGGACUUGAGGGGAGUUUCGGGUCAUGACAUAUUUUUCCUUCACAAGAUCAACUAUAGACCGAUCCUGGACCACAAUGUCCAUUCUUAUUCGAUUUUGGUUCACAGGAUCGACUAUGGAGGGUCUAUAGUCGAUCUUGGACCAAAAUGUUUGCAUUUCUCCCAUUUUCCCUUCCUAAGAUCAACUACAAAGGGUCUAUAGUUAAUCUUGGACCAGAAUGUUCGACUUCCUUACAUUUUACUUCACAAGAUUGACCUUCUAUGCACUAGGAUCGACUUCUUAGGUCCAAAUUUGUAGAAAUUGCUCCUUUUAAAGCCUAAACCCAUUCUAAAUCUCUUCUGCAACUUCAAAUCAUUUAUAUGUGACUUAAAUCUUUAUUCAAAUACUAAAACAUAAGAUCAAAGCUCCAAUUUAAGCAUCACCCUUUUGGAUUCCUCAAAUAUGUUCAUAAAAUUGUUGCUUAAGUUUCAUAACGCAUGCUUCUUACACUUAACAUGCCCCUAUAUCAUCUCCUAAUAUAAAACAAAAUUCUAGACCAUUCUCUCUACAAUAUAGUUCAUACACAUACUCCACAAGCAUACACAUUGGGGUUCAAAUUUAUUCUUCAAUAACUUAGCCCCAAUCACAUAUUGGCCAUGUCAAAAAUUAUGGGUGUUACAUUCUGGUUGCGUGAUGCCAACUUCUCUGUUUUGUGGUCAUGCUUUUUUCUCUUCACGGUGCCAUGGUGCCUAUUUUUCCAUGGCCGUGGUGCCCAACAUUCUGUGUUGAAUCCAAACUUCAUUUUUUAGCUCUAAUGCCCUUUUGUUCGUCCAUGCACCUUCAAAAACACAUUACUAUUCUUAAUAAAAGAGACCUAAUCAACCUAAAAUCAACUUACCUCAAUACUUAAAUUGAAAUUUAAAAUAAUCUACUAAAAUGAGACAAAUUAAAUCAAAAGUCAAAGACCUAACUAAUUUUAAUGCUCAACAAGUGAUAAAAUAACUCUAUAACAUAGUCAUACAACCUCAAACUUAAGAUUUUGCUAAUCCUCGAGCAAAAAUAUAAAUGAAAACUUAAACAAAAUGAAAGCAACAUAAUUGAUGAAAACAUUUAAAUAAAGAUGACAACUAGCUAGAGAUAAGUUGAACCAAGCCAAUGAUCUCCCAUAAUUUCCUUAAAAGUUAUCUUAAAAUCUCAACUCAAAGUAAAACACAAAUGCCAUCCAAAUUCAUGUUUCAAUUCAAGUGCAAGCUCAUUCUCGAACGGAUUUUUGUGUGCGUGUAAUCUUUUUGCAAAGAAUAUCAUGCAAUCUGAAUAAAUUUAUGCUUAUGCAAAAUUCAAGUUAGUACAAGAAUCCCAUAGGUUUGUUUUUCUUCUCUUUUUCCAUUAAUGUAGACUAAUACUUAGUCAAGAAUCAUUAGAACUUUACUAAGCUUGUAAUGAAUGGCUAAGAUAAAGGUAGGAUAUAAGACAUUAAUGUGGCUCUAAUCACUCUAAGCACAUAAUCAUUCUAGGACUAUUUUAGAGCUUAAAUCAUACUCCAAGUAAUUCCCUCCAGUUGGCUUCAACUUUUUCUUUUGUCCAACACUUUAUUCUUUUUUCUUUUUUUUCAUCACAAUUCUACAUCCCUUAACUUAUUUCUUUUUAAUAUAGAUAGUGGAGUGAAAACUAAGCACAAUUGAAUUUUUUAACAACUCAACCCUUCCUACCUCAUUCAUUAGUUAGAUGUUGUCGAUUUUGCACACGUAAGUAUACGUAUCAAACAAGUAAUAUAAACAGUAAGUAUAGAUUAUCGUUCCCACAAGGAUUUGUUUCUAAAGUUUUACUAAGUACUAAAAUUACAAAACAAACUAAUCUUAUUUAAGUAAUCCAAAAAUUUAAGCAAAAUUAAUUAAAAAUCAACACUAAAUAAACUAACAAACUAAAUCUUUUGAGAAAAGUAGUAUAUUUAAAACCUAAGAUUAUGGAUUCAUUCAACAUUUCAUCUGAUAUCAGCCUUUCUUGUUGUUUAUCUUUCUUGGGUGGUUUUACUAACCUAAAAUCCAAAGUUAUGGACAAGUUUAUCUAGUUGCUUGUAGAAAUACUUAAGUUAAUUAGUUCACUAUAUCUCUAUAGGAAUCAAUUAAAUUAAGUUCAUUAAGCAAGUGUCCUAAUGUGGCUAUGUAUGGCAAUUGGCGUAUGUCUACUUGAAUCGCGAAUCAAAUUACCUAAGUGACGUGAACAUACACUAUUCAAACCUUUGUCCAAUCUAAAAUCUCUCUGUCGAGUCCCAAUUAGAUUCACAAAUCAAUUAGUUGUUGGCAAAGCAAUCAAAAGCAUUAAGAAUAGAUUUGAAUAAGCAGAACUAUACCCAUUCAUGAUAAAUAAAAGAGAAACAAAUAUUUAGAUUAUAUGUUGAAAUCCGCCACAAUCCUAGAAAGAUAAUUUAGCUCAUAAUAACUAAUAAAAACAACAUCCAAAGAAAUUUGGCCAUGAAUCCAAGUCAAAGAAAAUAAAAGAAACACAAAAGUAGAGAAAGAAACUAAGUGUUGAAGCUUUGCAACAUCAAUUCUCUCUUAAAUUUUCUUAUUUCUUAUUUUGUUCUUGGCUUCAAAUCUCCAUAAUAGUUGCUUGCUGCCUCCCCUUUUAAACCUCUGAAAAAACUCCUUUAAAUAGGCUCCAAGUAACCUAAUUUUCAAAAUUUCAUCAAAUUUUUAUUUUCAAAAACUCAGCGUAGCGCCGUGGCCAUGAUUUCUUGGUGCCACGGCGUAAUGACAGACUUUGGUGGCACCGAGGCACUACUUCUUCAAUGCCGCAGUGCCAUGAUCUCGGGUUUUUGUAUGAUGUGCCCAUCUAGCCCAGCAUCGUGGCCAAAAAUUUCUAGCACUAAGGUGGUGGUUCCUUCAUCGACGUAGCCAUGAGUAGUUUAGUGCCAUGGCCGCAAUCGCCCUGCUACCUUGUGUAGAACUACAUUUGUUGAGCAUUAUCCAACGCAAUUUUUACCUUGAUAUGAUCCAAACCGGUGAAAGUGGUAAACAUGAAAGUUGUAGCCCUAUAUCUUAGCUUUAUAAUGGCUAAAGAAUCACAUCAAUUGGACUUUUAGCAUGAAAAAUAUGCUCUAAAUAUUGUAUAAUGUUCAGUCCAUGAAUACUACUGCAGUGCUCCGAUUUAGACAAAUAUUUUGCUCCCGAUUCGAUUAGAACUAGGCACAGUGGUAACAUAAAAGUUGCAACUCUUCCUCUUAAUGUUCUAGUGGUUUAAGAAUCACUUCAUUUGGAGUCUUGAAUAGAGAAAUAUGGUCAAAAUGCCGCAUUAUAUAUGAAUGAAGUCAUCACCAUACUUGCACGGAUUUUCAUCAAAUGAGCCUUUUUCAUUAAAUUUCCUACAAAAACAAUAAAAGAAACCAACAAUAAUUACUCUUAAAGUAAUUUAAAACAAAAUAACAUAAAAUUCAACUAAAAUAACUUAAAUUAAUUACUUAACAUGUAAUCAAACUUAAACUAGAAAAACACCUAAAAUAUUACGAUCCAAACCUAUAAUCUCAAAAAUCUAACUACUUAAGCCCCAUAUGUGUCAAAAUAACUCUAUAUAAUAGAGUUAUCAUUAGCUCAAUACACUUCUUAAACUUAUUAACAUACUUACGAGUUAAGGCCAAAAAAUUGGAAUCUUAUUUACAGGCUAGGCUAAACAAUUAUGUGUUUGACAAAGAAAAGGUAAAAUUAGGCUUAACAAGGUAUACUAGGGAUAAAAAUAUAUCAAGGUAGGCUUGGAAGGCUCAAAUGGUUUAAAAAUGGCCUAAUUCAACUCUUUAACUAAAUCUUACCUAAGAUUUCUCCUCGAGAGAAAAUCAAAAAAAUUUUAGAAUUCAUGACAAAAUCCAAAAUUCAUAAUAACAUAAACCUUCUCUAGAUAUGCACAACAUUUCUAAGUAAAAGAUAAAGUGCUUAUCAAAUGGAAAUCUCAUUCUAACAAUGAUACUCACACAAGAAUUUAUCAUAAACUCAAAUUAUACCCACAUUCUCCAAUAGUCAAGAUAACAAAAUAACUAAAUUCUCAUCAUUAGGUUGGAACAAAUCAUCAAAAAAUGGCACAAAACAACUCAAGCUAUAGACUCUUAAAAAACUUAGGCAAAAUCCUAGGAGAUGAAUUAGGCCAUCUAUGGACUGUUUGAGCCUUUUAACCUAACCUUGACAAAAUUUUAGCUUUAAUAUACCUUUUCUUUGUUAAACACCAAUUUUAAUUAGCCUAGCCUAAUAAUAAAUUUUCAAUUUUGCAUCCCUCAUCCUUAAGUAUGCUAAUCAUUUUAGGAUAUGUAUUGAGCUAGAUGUUGGAUAAUGUAGAAAGUGAAGUUGUUGAAAACUUAAAAAAUGCGUAAUAUUCACCCCACUAUCAUAGAACGAAAAAAGUUUGGGGGUGUGUGAUGAAAAGAAAAGGUAGAAAAGAAAAAGAAUAAAGUGUUGAACAAAAGAAAAAGUUAACAUAAAAAAGAAAGGUGUUACUUGGAAUGAUGUGUCACAACCCAAACCCGAGGGUUAGUGAUCGGUGCAUGAGCCUAGCAAGCAAGCCCACUGGUCUCGAGCAAGCUUUAGAGUUCAAAUCACAUAACACAUAGCCAAGGGAUUAAAUAGUCAAACAGUCAUAACAAAUUCAAAUAUAAUACAUUAUCCCUAGCUCACAAUCUAUACACCGUUCAUAGGGCCAUACAUUGGCCAUCAAAUUAGGUUUGUACAUAACAACCCUUAUACAAUUCAAAUGGCAUGUCGUGCCUGACAUAUUUUACAAACUAAUCAAACUAGAAAGGCGGAAGGCCCAAACAGACUCAAAGGAGUGGCAUGUUGGGAAAGAGACCUACCAGAUGCAAAUUAUUUAUCUGUCCAAUUGACAACACUUGCCACGUAACCUCAUAGCUUUUCUUAUCUACACAUGGUCUAACAGAAGGGUGAGUCAUCUAAUAGUCAGUGAGGGGAUGCUAUCACAGCAUAAUAUUUUACCUAUAAACUAUAUGUAGGCCUAUCUAGCUAUAAUACUUUCAUAUUCAAACAUCUCCAACUCAAAAGUGUGAGGAUCAUCCUAGUAUCCUACAUACGCAACUCAUCAUAUUAAACCUUGCUAGAUUGCAUAUCAACUACGUAUAAUCUCCACAAUUUCUAAGUUUCAUGCGUUCACAUCAAAUCAUGUCAAUUCGAGGCUUACCCUUAGAGUUGUUAUCAUCAAACUAGGCUUCAUAAGCACACCUUAGUUGCCGAGCCUAACCUUAAAUUUCAUUUACAUAUAAUUUGCUUAUCUCAAGCCUUUUAACAAAUAUCAUUCAUAGUGGUCACCACAUAUUCAUAUUUCAAAUCAAAUCAUGCCAUCCUCGAUGCAUGUUAUCAUAGUCAACCGAAAUCAAAUGAGUGCUCCUGCUUGGGAUGUAGCAUCACUUGGAGUAAUCUCAAUGGAUGGCAUCAAAGCACUACAGGUGGGAAUCACAAGAGGGAUUAGUGCCACCGUCCUUGCUUUCCACCAUCCCUGCUAGCAUACAAGUUCACACGGCAUGGCACUGCACUCUACCUCAAGUCAAAUCAAUGUUUGGAAUGCAUCCCUUGGAUAAAACACAAAUCCACAAAUCAGGCCAUCGUGCCUAUGACAUUCCAUAUGUCCACAUCAAAUCAUAUUCAAAUUUAACAAGCUUCAAUCAUCUCUAAGUUCGGUAAAAUUCUAAGUGCUUUCAAAUCUCUAAGGCAUUAUCAAACAAAACAUAAUCAAUCUCUAUGCUCUCAUGCUCUUAACCCCACAUGGAUAGUCAUCAUAUUCAAUCCAAUCAAUCAUGGCUUAAUAGCCUUUUGCAUAUCCUCAAGUCAACCCUAAUUUUGUGGGCAUACUUGCAUAAUAGAUCAUAUCCAUAAGUAAUCAUGGCCUUUUGGCCUCACAUAGUUAAUAUCACCCAAUUGCUGUGCCAUUAACCCAAAUACAUAUCAGGCCAUAUAUCUACUUGACAUCCCAUUCAUCAUAAUUUGGCACAAUCCUUAAUCCAUGAUUCAUAUUGCAUUAUGUGUAGGCCUCUAGCUUUAGGUUCUACAUACCAUGGGUUCUUACACAAUGCCACCUUGUGGCUCACCACAAGUCACACAAUCACAAUUUUUUAUCUUGGAUAACUAAUUAGCCUAGGCAUCCUCAUCUAGGCACACAAUCAGGUUUGUUCUCUAGCCUAGGCACAUACCUCUAGGAAAACAUACACACACACACACACAUAUGUACACAUAUCAAUUUCAUUAGCCUAGGUAUUAUCAUCUAAGCAUACACACAACAUUUAAGUACCAUGGCAACACAUACAUCAUGCGAGAUGUAUCACAUGCAUUUAAUUAAAUCCCACUCACCUCAACAAUCACAGGCACUCCCAUAGUUGAUGUCACAACCCAAAUUGCAGGCCAUGACCUACGCAAGGGCUUAAUAGGCACAGCCCAUUAGGUCCAAGCAAGCCUUUUUGUAUGAACUUGUACAUUAGCCCAUCUAUCAUCCAUAUUUCUUUAAAAUCUAUAAUUCAUGAUAUUCAAAUAUAAUUUCUUUGAAAAUAAUUCAUAAAACCCAAAUAUUUACUCAUAAUGGCAUCAUCGCUCAUAAUAUACAUAGAUAGUCUGACAAAUGAAUCUUAACAUUUCACAUCAAGCAUUCAAUACACGUAAUUAGACCUUGACCAUCAACGGAGUGACUCUGGGCACGGUUGCUAAUAUUUAGUGUCAUGUUAAACCUACCGAGCAAUGGAUAGGGAGGAGCACCUCGUUCUAGGAUAGAAUCACCUUUAACUCAGAAAACCUAAAACAUGAAGUUGAAAAACGUGAGUAUAAACCCAGUGAGUGAACAUAGGAAGGGAACAAGCAUCAAUACGGGAGGUUUUAG